rnacentral:lncRNA from 1 species
UUUUUACAUCUUCUGUUUUACAUCUCCAAAUUUGCAUCUUCUAUUGGAGAUGCUCUAAAUAAGGUUGUUAAUGAUAAUCUACUUUACCUUUGCGCAUGUCAUCUUAUUUCGAAUGUAGAUCAAUCCAUAAUUUGCAUUGUUAAGGGCGUCUCCAAUGGCAACCCGCAAAUUUCCUCCCACACCCAUUCACAGACAGGGGGACCAGUCUGUGGACAUGGAUGCAGGAGGCCGCCAUCCAACGCUGCCCGCAUACAUUUCAACAACAAUCCGCACAACCAGAUGAAAUUCGUUCAAACUUGGUCGGAUUUUCAUACAAACCGGACGAAGUUCACGCAAACACGACGAAUUUUUAGAUUGCAAACAUUUAGAACAAAAGAACCAUCCGACCCGACCCUGAACCUACCUACGGCGGCAUCUGUCGUCCAUGCCGUUGUCAUCCUUCACUGCUGUCGAGCACCGACGAUAAGACCACUGAAGUGAAGCUGUGGUCUCUGGCGAGGAAGAGUAGAACACGAGAGACGGACCGACCCACAUGGGACACAAGGCCCUGCCGCCUCCUGUGCCCUACUCAUCCUCGGAGGAGUCCGCGCAUUGUCCGUUGCUGGUGGACGUGAGGUCCAUGAUGGAAAUGGUGGCGCCCGCACUGUCGUCGUCCCACAUGGGCGCCUGAUGGUUCGUCGGCGGUGUGCAUGAGGCGAAGCUAGCGUUGUUCUCAUCCGCGAUCACCUGUAGCUGCGCCUCCGCGGCGGCAUUACAUGCUGCUCCGCGAUGAAGUUGGGGUUCAUCGCGGCCAUGGACGCCACGACCUCCUGGCUCACACACUCACCAUCGAUCUGGACCUCCGCCAGCCGGUGCUGCUCUAGCAACACCGACAAAGGCACCGACGUAGGAAGCUCCUCCGCCAUGGCGGCGUUGUAGUGCGCCUGCGCCAUGGUGAAGAUGGCAUGCAUAGGCGAUGGCUUCGGUGCGGUGUCGUCGGAGUCCGUCUCCAUCGUGGGGUCGUCCUCGUCGUCGGAGACCUCGGGCAAGCUGGACGGCAGGCCGGCCUCGAUCCGCCUGGUACAGCGGCUCUGCCAGGCGGCCGCAUGGCGCGGCCAACUCAUGCUUUAUCUCCGUCGAUGGGCUCUCCCACAGAGCGUUGCCGCCGGCUGUCAUGGCGAGUGUGGUGCAAGGGAGGAGGAUGUGGAGCGGCUUGUGUUGUGGCAUGGACUAGAGCGGGUGUGGACGCCUAUAAAUAGCGGAGUGCGUUGAGGCCAGGCGUCCGGGUGCGUCAAUGCACGUUGCCGGAGUGGGUUUCUCGGCCGGCGAGCCUGCUUAAUGGCGGCAUACGGACGAACGGGGCAUUGAACGGACGUGGUAAAUAUCCGUCCCGUCCCGUCCAGUAACGCUUCUUAGGCAUUGAACAUGCGUGAACACCAGGGACGCGUCGCGGGCGACGCCCUCGGCCGGUGCGCCGCUUCAAUGCCGGCGCCAGUUAAAGGUCGUGUCCGCUAUGUAGCCGGCUUCAAUGGGGAGCGACCGGCGGCAUGAAUGCGGGCAGCUGGCACCGGAAGAAAUACGCGCGGGCGAGGAAGGACGGUUUUGAGUGGGCCAGGGUGGUCAGAAGCAGGCAGUCCGGACGCACGCAAAGCCCCCACGUUUGUCUCCGGUUUGCGGGAGAAAGUGCGUCCGCAUGCCUUGUGGACGGAUGCAGGACCUCGGUGGAUGGCACGCGCGGUCCGGACGUAUGCAGGUGGUUCGAGGGUAGCUGCUGGAGAUGCCCUAAUACUAGUAUAUUCUUUUUGAAAAGGGUGCUAAUCUUAUCUUGACAGUGUUGAGGUGGGCUGGUAACAAAUGCAUUUUGGGUGCGAUCAUCUAUCCAACGGGCGCUGAAAAGUUGACCCGAAUAUUACCACUAGACCCUGCCAAAAGAACGAUGUCACAAUAAUACCCUCGCCGGAAGCAAAGCAGAAGCCCACUCGCAGAUAUUACAGGGGCCGUAUUGAAAACAAACUCCCCCAAAAUCCAUUCAUUACUUAACCGGCCUGUCCCCAAUCGCAGCACACUCCUCACCGCCACCUCCAAGCCCCCGGCGACGCCCCGCCUCGACCUCGCCGCCGCUCCAGCCCACGGUUCGCGGCUCCCCGGCCGCCGCCGCCGGAUUCGCCUCCUCGCCGUCGGGUGAAGUCGGUCAACCCUCGGCUCAGGCGCUUCGCAUCGCCCGCGCCCCCUCGGCGUCGGCUCGGGCCCGGGCCGCUCCCUCCUUCCUCGAAACCCUAGAUUCCGCCGCCCCACGCGCGGUGCGAUCGUGCGGCCCGCGGCCUCCCGCGAUGCCCAUAUAAGGAGGCCCCCUCUCCCCCCCGAGGCUCUCGACACAACCGCUCUCGCGCUCUAGGGUUUGCGCCGCCGCCGCCUCGAGGACAAUGGGACGCACGGUGGUUUCCGACGACGAAGGUACGCGAUUUCGUUGCCGAUUCCUGCGGUUUCGCGUGUUUUGGUGCCCUCGGCGGCGGUUUGUGCGCGUUUUCUGAUGGGAAAAGCUUGCGCUUCUGUUGGAACCCUAGAGGACGACUUCAUCGAGGCCGAGGAAGAGGACGAGCCGCGGCCGUCGCGGAGGGCCAGGGAUGAUGUCGACGAGCAGGACGACGAUGAGGACGAGGAGGAGGACGAUGAAGGUUAGUUUCUCCUAACGAUCUUUCCAUUACGUUUGCUUGCGCGAGGGAUUUGUUGGCUGGAGCUAUCCUUUCCUCUCGAUUGAGAUGCUUUUAUGUGCUGUGCGGUACUGUGUUUCGGGCGUUCUCUUGCUUGAUUUCUUAUUUCGAUUGGUUUUACUGUGUAUUACGAUGUUUUGCUAUCGAUUACAGUUUGCAGCAGUUGCCUUUUUCUAGUCGAAUCGCCUGUGAUUGUGUUCUCGAGCUAGUAUAGCAAUAAUUGGGUGACCUUGUUUGUGAGCAGAUGAGGGACAGAAUGAGUACGAGAAGGAUGGCUUCAUAGUGGAUGAUGCGGAUGAAGACGAGGAAGAGGAGGAGGAGGAGGCGAGAGCUAGUGAUGAUGAAAGACGCAAGAAGAAAAAGAAAAGAAAGAAGAAGAGGUAGUUGCUUUUUAUGCCUCGUCAUGAAACAGAGUGUCUUAUUCUUUAUGAGUUUCUAAACUGCAAGAAAUGUGGCCAGAGAGACGGAGGAUUUCGAGCUUGAUGAGGAUGACUACAUGUUGCUCCAGGAUAAUAACAUUACUGGCAUCACUCGUCCGAAGCCUCCUGUAUGCUUUAAGAUAAUCUUUGUGUCUGUUUUGGACUUCCAUGAGUUUUUGCAUGCUUCUCAGUAAUGUGCCUUCUCAUUUUGCUGACGGUAGGAAAAUAAGUUUAAGCGGUUGAAGAAGGCAGGACGGGAAUCUGAAAUGGAUGGGCGCUCUGGCUUCUCCGAUCAUGACGGAGCAGGAAAAAGCCGGACUGCUGAGGAGACAGUUCGUAGCUCCUUGUUUGGUAAUGAAGGUACCUGCUUCUGAAUCCUCUUCACUUUGCUUGUUUUCCAAUGCUGGAAGUUUCCUGUCUAAUUUUUAAUUUGCUGCAAUAUCAUUUGCUCAGAACCGUUUGAGGAGGAUUUUGUCGAGGAGGAUCAGCAGGUAGAUGAAGAUGAGGUUGGUGAAGAUGAUAUGGAUGAUGAAAUGGGCGAUUUCAUUGUGGACGAAGAGGAAAUCGAUGUGAAUGGCCAAGUUGUGAAGUAUGCUCUUAUGUUCCGUAUUGUGUGUUAAUGGUUCUCUAUCCAUGUGAAAUUAUUCAGACCUUAUAUUUGUUAUUAUUAUUAAAUGCACACAUGCUAUUGUACUGCAGAAGGAAGAAGGUUAAAAGAAAGCCUCUGCGACAAGCUGCAGGUGUAUCAUCAUCUGCGCUACAAGAGGCCCAUGAUAUAUUUGGGGAUGUUGAUGAGCUAUUAGCACUAAGAAAACAAGAGCUUGAGAGGGAUGCUAUUAAUUCCGGCGAGUUGAGAGGAAACAGGCUUGAAGAUGAGUUUGAACCAUUUAUUCUCGCAGAAAAGUAUAUGACACCAAAGGAUGAGCAGAUAAAAGAAACUGAUAUACCUGAGAGGAUCCAGGUAAGUUACCAGUUAGACAUGUUGGAUGUCUGUCUUGAUUUUGGUUUGUAAUGCGUAUCUGAUUCUUAAUUGCUUCUUCCUCAGCUGUCUGAAGAGUUAACUGGCCAUCCUAUAGAUGGUGAUGCAAAUAGUGAGGAGGAAAGUGUAUGGAUACACAACCAACUAACCGGGGAUGGAUUUCUGUCCCUUUUUGGCAAAGAGCAAGUGAACAGGGAGAUUCAUCAGAGCGACAUCGUGAAUGUCUUGAACAUGCUACAUACCCACAAAUUUGAAGUACGAAAAACUAUAGGAUCUCAUUGCAUAAUUUCUUAUGUUUGAUCUGCUGACUUGGUUAUUGUUUCACAUCAGAUUCCAUCUCUGUGCGUAAUUUCUUAUGUCUGAUGUGCUGACAUAGGUAUUGUUGCCUGUCAGGUUCCAUUCAUUGCAAUGUAUAGGAAGGAAAGUUGCCUGAGUCUGGUAAAAGAUAACGAUGCCAAUGAACAAGCAAAUGAAGAAGAGACGCGUAAAAUGAAGUGGCAUAAGGUAACUGACCAGUGUCCACUACUAGACAGGUGUUAGGCCCCCCUGAUUAUCAAGAUUUUACAAUUGCUGACACAGUUUGUCUGUUGUUUGUAGCUGCUUUGGGCUGUUCAGACCUUAGACAGAAAGUGGCUUCUUCUUCAGAAGCGCAAGGUUGCUUUGCAGAUUUAUUAUGAGAGAAGAUAUGAUGACGAGAAACGAAGAAUAGACGAUGUUACAAGGCAGGCACUUAAUCGACAACUCUACCACUCUAUCAUUGAUGCACUGAAGGAAGCAAAAUCAGAGAAAGAAGUGGAGGAUGUUGACGCGAAAUUCAAUUUACAUUUCCCUCCUGGUGAAGUUGAAGAAGUAGGUCAAUUUAAGCGACCAAAAAGGAAAUCCUUGUACAGUAUUUGUCACAAGGCAGGAUUGUGGGAGGUUGCUAACCAAUUUGGUCGGAGUGCUGAGCAAUUAGGCCAACAUCUAACUUUAACGAGGAUACCUGUACGUGAUCUAACUCACACUUUGCAUUAUCCUUCUAUGGAAGGAUACUGCAUAUGCAACCUAUCCUUUAUCUGCAUAUAUGACAUUCUGUCCUGGCUAAAUCUAUUGUACCCGUGACACCUUUUCUGCUUCUGCUGCUUUCAGGAAGCGGGUGAGCUUGACAGUGGGAAAGAUUCUCCUGAAGAUGUUGCUGCAAAUUUCACAUGCGCAAUGUUUGAAACGUCACAAGAUGUCCUUCGGGGUGCCAGACACAUGGUACCAACAUCUUACAAGUUUAACCAGUCCUCAUAGGAAGCUAGGCUAUUCAUUUCAUCUGACUUGAUCCAGUUUCAUUUAUUUUUAUCUUAUCAGGCAGCAGUUGAGAUCGGUUGUGAGCCUAUUGUAAAAAAGCAUAUCAGGGGUAUCUUCAUGGAUAAAGCAGUUGUAUCAACAAAGCCCACACCUGAGGGCAGUUCGGUCAUAGAUACUUACCACCAAUUAUCAGGUGUGGAGUGGCUGCAAGAGAAACCACUAAGCAAGUUUGGAGAUGCACAGUGGCUUCUUAUUCAGAAAGCAGAGGAAGAAAAGCUUCUCAAGGUUACCAUAACAUUGCCAGAGGAUGCAAAGAAAGCGCUCAUGUCUGAGGCUCGUGAGAAUUACUUAAGUGACUGUGUCAGCAAGUCUGCACAACUGUGGGAUGAGCAACGGAAGAUGAUACUGGAUGAUGCCUUCUUGAAUUUUCUAUUUCCAGCAAUGGAAAAGGAAGCUCGAUCACUGUUGACAGCAAAAGCCAAAUGUUUUCUGUCUAUGGAAUAUGGGAAACAGUUCUGGGACAAGGUUUCUGUUGCUCCUUGGAAGAAGAAGGAUGCGGACAAGAAGGAUGCGGACAUUGAUCUGGAUGAUGAGUCAGAGUUAAGAGUAAUGGCCUGCUGCUGGGGUCCUGGGAAGCCAGCAACCACAUUUGUAAUGCUAGACUCAUCAGGAGAAUUGGUUGAUGUUCUGUAUGCUGGUUCUAUUAGUCUUAGAUCUCAAGGUGUUGCUGAGCAGCAGCGUAAGAGAAAUGACCAGCAGAGGGUUCUGAAGUUCAUGACUGACCAUUCGCCACAUGUUGUGUGUGUAGGAGCUUCGAAUUUGAACUGCAGACAACUCAAGGAUGAUAUUUAUGAGGUAUUAUUUUAUUUGUUUGCAAGUGAAUUAUGGCUGUUAUUGUUUCUGUUCAUAAGUAUAUGCUUGAUGUUUGUUCUCCUUUCAUCUGUUCGUUAUUUCGGCUGUCAUAAUGUAUCACCAUGUCCGGUCACGACCACAUGUGAUCAGUUAUCGUUGCCAAUGCAGAAAUCAUUAUUGUUGCUCUUCUUUUGUCAAUUGCAUGCAAGCAUAUUUUUCUCCUACUGUGAUGUGUAGACACAGAAAUGCCAUCACGUGUUCUGCUAGGGGAUUCCCUGGGUUGGCAAUUCCUUCUAAUGCUUACUGGCACUCUUCCAUCAUAAAAACUAGAGGAUACCCCCGCGUUGCUGCGGGAAUUGGUUGAUGAAAAUUUCGGUUGGUAACAUGAGAACCAAAAUAAAAUAUACAUAUGACUUGUUAUAUUUGAUAGUGUAGAGUUGUAACAAUAUUUAUUGAAUAUAAGUAUUGAAUGGAAAACAUCAUCCCAUGCAUAGUUGAAUGUUGUGGUGGGUCUUCCUAGCAUGAUUGCAUGUUGAGGUGGGCAUUAUCCCCUUCCUGGUUGUAUGAUGAGGUGGCAUGCUUUCAAGUUUGACUCCCUUAGGUAUAUAGGAUUCCGACAGUUGUUAUUGGCUGGGUGCUCGCUCCAGUAUUUAUAUUCAAAUGAAUAUUUCCUGUCAUUCUGUUCAGUUUCUUAUUUGGCAUGAAUGUGGAUAGAUAGCGUCAAUAAAAUAAUGUGUUUGCUUUGUAUAGGUUAUUUUCAAAAUGGUGGAAGAUCACCCAAGAGAUGUGAACCCACAAAUGGAAAAUUUCAGCAUUGUCUAUGGUGAUGAAUCUGUGCCUCGCUUGUACGAGAACUCUCGAAUAUCUUCAGAUCAGCUGCCUGCCCAGUCAGGUAUAGUACAACAUGUUGAUUUACUGUUUGCUCUUUUGGUCACGAACUUUUCUAAAUAUGUACUUUUAAUUAUGUAUAGCUAUCGUGAAGCGUGCUGUGGCCCUUGGUCGGUACUUGCAAAAUCCUUUGGCGAUGGUUGCAACACUUUGUGGACCCGGGAAAGAGAUACUGUCAUGGAAACUACACCCCCUUGAACAGUUCCUUACUCCCGAUGAGAAGUAUGAAGUUGUUGAGCAAGUAAUGGUCGAUGCGACAAAUCAGAUCGGUUUUGAUGUUAAUCUUGCUGCUAGCCAUGAGUGGCAUUUUUCCACUUUGCAGUUUGUUGCUGGUCUGGGACCGCGCAAAGCUUCAGCUUUGCAGAAGGAGUUGGUAAGAGAGGGAUCCAUUUUUAGCCGCAAGGAGCUGGUGAAACCCUUAGGCAGGAAAGUAUUCAUGAAUGCGUCUGGGUUUUUACGCGUCCGACGAAGUGGUGCUGCUGCAGCUAGUGCCCAGAUCAUUGAUCUUCUUGAGGAUACAAGGAUCCAUCCUGAAUCAUAUGCGUUGGCGAAGAAUUUGGCCAAGGAUGUCUGUGCCGCGGAUGGACUUGAAGCGAAUGAGAUGGAUGAUGAUGAGCAAGAGAUGGCAAUUGAGCAUGUGAGAGAGAAGCAGGAUCAACUUGACCGUCUUGACAUAGAUGAAUACAGCAGAAGCAUCGGAGAUGAUAAGAGAGAAACGUUGUUAGACAUAAAGUUGGAGCUAAAGUGUGGUUUCAAAGAUCGGAGGACCCCUUAUGCCGAGCCAAGUCCAGAUGAGGAGUUCUGGUUGCUUUCUGGUGAAACUGAGGACAACAUAUCAGAUGGAAGGAUUGUUCAAGUAACUGUUCGGCAUAUACAAGAUAACCGAAUAAUUUGCACCUUUGAUUCUGGGUUGAAAGCCAUAGUUAUGGGAGACAACUAUUCUGAUGAUGGCUUUGAUCUAGAAUCACUGCAGUUACAUGAAGGCGAUGUAUUAACUGGCAAAAUUAAGAAUGUGAAUAAAAAUAGGUUCAUAGUUUACCUAACAUGCAAGCAGAGUGAAAUGAGUAGAUGGCCAUUCUCGAGAAGUAACCAUGAUCCAUACUAUCGUGCACAAAAGGUGGUUCUGACCCAGGAUGACAAGGCUCGGAAACAAAAGGAAGCGAAGAAACAUUUCAAGCCCAGGAUGAUUGUUCAUCCUCACUUUCAGAAUUUGACGGCGGAAGAGGCAAUGCAGGUGUGUUGUCCUGUUGAAUAGUUCUUUUCUGUCCCUUUACUUUCUUUAUUAACUUCUUUCCCUUUCUGUAAUAGUAUCUAAUCUUAACUCAUUGAAACAGUUCCUGGGGGACAAAGAGCCUGGCGAGAAAGUCAUUCGGCCUAGCUCUAGGGGCCCAUCAUUUCUAACACUGACCCUGAAGAUCUUUGAUGGUGUCUUUGCACACAAGGAGAUAACCGAAAGUGGAAAAGAUCAUAAAGAUAUUACAAGUUUGCUUCGCCUCGGAAAAACACUGACCAUUGGUGAUGAAACUUUUGAAGAUCUUGAUGAGGUUGGUUUACAUACAAGAUGAUUUCCAUAGCAAUUUUUCUGUAGACAUCAGUUUGCAGACAAUAGCCAAAAUACCACUAGUUAGAACCGAACUUGCCAAAAUACCACUAUGAAAAACCGACUUUCCAAUAUAGCAUUAGUUUCAGUUUUCUCUAUCCAAAAUACCACUAGUGGCUAACUGAGACUAACACCAUCCAAAAAGGACUUGCAUGACCUUACCUCUUCACAUCCCAAGCUUAAAUUUUAUUCACAGAAGAGCACCUACAGGGCAACAUUUCAGCACCAAAUUAACAUGAAUAUAUCAACAUAUAACAACAGACUAAAAACCAUCUCACUUUGCAUCAUUUAACAACAAUAUAGCAACAGAGGAACCGGUCGAGGUAAUCUUGGCAAUGCCAAGAAGAGGGCGGCUUAGCAGGUUAGAGUUCCUGCAGCGGGCACCAAUGGAGGCACUGGGAGGCCCCAGGCAGGCAAGCAGCAGGGAGGCAGGAUGAGGCAGAGCAGGGCCGAUUGGUGCCGGAGCUGAGGCGUUGGAUGGCCCAGCUACGCGCCCGUGGGCGGGAUCGACAAGCGCCGGGCUUCCCAGCCGCGCGCCUGCGGGCAGGAUCAACGGGUGUCUGGCUUCCCAGCCACGCGCCCAGGGAGGAGGUCGGCGAGUGGAGAGGCUACGGGGUGAGUGUCGCAAAGGGUUAGAGGGAGAGAGGGGCUGCAGGGAGGCGCCGCCAUGGCUCUCUGCUGGGUGUGGGAGGGGCUGGAGAGGAAACGUGAUUAGGGUUAGCUGCUAUGGGGGUAAAUUUGGAAUACUCAAAAAGCUGAUCCCUAACGGUUUGACUAACAGAAAAAGUUUGACAAUUGACGGAAGUGCUAUUUUGACAAUGAAAACUGAGCUUGGAGUGCUAUAUUGGCAAGUCGGUUUUCUAUAGUGGUAUUUUGGCAAGUUCGGUUCUGACUAGUGGUAUUUUGGCUAUUGUCUUGUUCCAUUUCUGUUGUAGCAGUCAAGAUUGGCAUCUGUUUUCACUUUUGGUAAAUGUAUGUUUCUUUCCUUGUACAAAUAUGCAGGUAAUAGACAGAUAUGUGGAUCCAUUGGUAGGCCACCUGAAAAGCAUGCUCUCUUAUCGCAAAUUCAGGAAAGGGUUAAAAGGCGAAGUUGAUGAUAUGUUGAGGGCCGAGAAAUCAGAGAAUCCUAUGAGAAUAGUCUAUUGUUUUGGCAUAUCUCAUGAACAUCCAGGCACCUUCAUAUUAUCUUACAUCAGGAGUACAAACCCACAUCAUGAGUAUGUUGGGUUAUACCCAAAGGGCUUCAGAUUCCGGAAGAAAGAUUUUGACAGCAUUGAUCGUCUUGUGUCAUAUUUUCAAAAACAUAUUGACAAACCACCACCUGAUGCUGGCCCAUCAAUGCGAAAUGUUGCGGCAAUGGUACCUAUGAAAAAUUCAGCUUGGGGUUCUGGUGGCGCGAAUGACGGAAGGAGGGGAGAUGGUGAUAAUGAUAGGGACAGACACUUUUCUGGAAGAUCAGGUCAGUCCUUGAAUGUGUUUGCUUUUUGCAAUACUUGGUUAUCAAGCACAUCUGCAUUCAAUUGUGUCGUCAUCGUUACCACUGACAUUUGCUUGCAUAGUGUAUCUUCGUGUCGAUGACCUGUCCUCAUUUUCUUACUGGAAUUAUUGGAACCAUAUUAUGGCUAGUUUUGUUGAAGCCUGUACCCACAAAGCAACUGUUUUAAACGAAUUACUGGAACCACAUUAUAUGGCUAGUUUCAUAUAAGUUUUGUUGAUUCUGAUGAAGCAACUGUUUUGAACUUCGUGUCACGGAAAAUAAUCUGAUCUCCCCUGUUCUCAGUGGUUUUCAAACCUACCCUGUAUUAGUUUUGCUGGUCUUAUUCUUGUUCUGUCUCCCGUGUUUGUUGAUCACCAUCGCUUCAUAGAGUUGUCACUAAGAUCCUGCCAAACAAAUAAGAUGUUAAAGGAUGUUCAGAAGUACGCUAUCAAUCUUAAUUUGUCAUUUCUUCUCCUAAGCAGGAGGCAGGUUUGAUUCAAGGAACAGUUCUGGCGGCCGUGGACGUGGACGGGGUCGGGGUCGAGGUAACUUUGGCAGUGAUGGUGAUGGUGGCGGUGGUGGAGGAUGGACUGAUAACAUAGGCAGUGGGGGAGGUGCGUGGGGCACUGGUGGAGGAUCUGGAGGCGGGGAUGCUGGAUGGGGUGGUGGGGGCGACAGCAACCGUGGUGGCGGUGGGGAUAAUGGCUGGGGCGCACCUGCUUCUGCCGCUGCCACUGACGGUGGCGCAGGAGGCUGGGGUACACCUGCUGCCGCUGCUGCCACUGACGGUGGCGCCGGAGGCUGGGGAGCAGCUACUACUCCUGGUGCUGCUGGUGACGACUCAGGAUGGGGCAGCGCCAAGAAGGCCGUCCCAGCACAGGAUUCUGGAGGUGGGUGGGGGUCUGGCGGUGGGGGCUGGUGAAGGAUAUUUGCUUUGCAGCAUAAACCAUAAACUACCUACCGUAGAUCUAUCAAGUGGAAACUUGUUUUUAUGUUUGAACCCUGUUAUGCUUCUGCCUAGUGCUGUCGAUGGGUGAAAGUUGGCACUGUUUUGGGACUUGGUAAUCUGCUAGUUGCUGCUGCUGGUCUUGUUAUAUUCUGGACGGCCUUAUGUUUCAAUGCAUGUACAGUUUCCAGACAUUUGGUAUCUUGGUUCUUGGUAGUCUCGGUAUUCCUAUGAUUGAUGUCUAUGUUUAAUUACGCUUGUCAUCGUGUUAGUUUGCCUAGUGGUGUCGAUGUGUAUAACAUGCGCAGUUGUAGCUUCAGAUAAAUAAUUUACUAGUACAUCACAAGUUUGAGCUUACAUGGGUGCUUUGAUGUGGCUACAGCACUUAUUUUAGGAAGCAUUUUGCAUUAUUGUUCCGCGUCGGCGCACGAGCCUUUCAGUGCUUCGAAUCCCUCAUUCCUGCGUGCCCGGGAUCUAUCUAUCAGGACAUGGCCAUGCGCUCGUUACUUGCUGCUGCCAUCCGUUAGGCUAUGUACAAAAUACCCCUAAACCGCCUCGAAUCCUCUUGAGAGAACGAGGCCUUAUGCAAGUUUGUCCCGCCUGGUUCCCCCGCCUCGUUGGGACCUGAACGGAGACGCAGCACUAAUGCGUGGUUCUGCUUUAUCAUCUUUUUUUAUAGUUGAGGUCCAAAUCCAGCCCUCGGUUGUCAGGCAAGAGCCCCUAUGCAUAAGCAGAUGGUCACAAAAGGUUAUUCGCAAAAAAAGAAAAACAAGAGAAAGAAGGUCGCCGCAAAAGGUGUAGUGAAUGAGAAGUUUUUGUACCCGGUCAUGAUACAACUGGUUAGUAAAAAUGGAAUGUUUUGUGUCAAAUUUUGUGGGACAAUCUUCAGACUCUGUUUGCCAGAAAUAUUUUGGAUGGCACAGUAACAGACCUGUCACAAAUCAGAUCGUCGAUACAGGCUUUUCCCUUUUGGGGUGUGAGAUACAAGCUUUCUCUGAAACAACAUAUUAUCUCCCUAUGGUAUUUGUAGCUUUCCGACUUAUGGAAGCUUUUUCUUUUGUUGCUAAAAUUUAUGUACAAAUGGGUAUCUCAACACCACAGCCUUGGCGUUCAUGAUACCCUCGACCGCACACACAAUUAUUUAUCUAUUCUAUCCUACAUUGAGGAUCACAAAUAGAGCGUCGAAAAGAUCAAAUCAUCCAACCGCCAUCCUUGCAUCAUUAUUUUUUGCAUGGUAGUACGUGUUUCAUUCACAACAUAAAGAUCAUAGUACAACUACAAACCACGUAGACAUCGACAUAACAAAAUUGGAAAGACAUCAGAACGCCUUUGCACAAAGGACCACCACACCAAGGAAAAUUACAAUCAAGACCGACCUCCAAGGUGGCUCAUCAAAGGUGAAGUCAUCGCCAUUGAAUGAAUCAGAUCGGGGCGAUAGCCUGGACAUGCGAACUCUAGAUUUGGCACUCCCGCAUGACUAAGACACUGGAGGAGGAAACCAUAUUUGCUAACCGUCAACUACGAACCCAACACAAGAUCCGUCUUUCAGAUGUCGUUGAUGCUAACCACUAUCCGUAUCCAUUCCUCGACUAUCUCCCAAGCCCCACAUCCGUGCUAGAGCAGAUGCUGUCGCAACGGAGGAGCCCGAUGGCACAAGUCCACCAUAAGGAUGCCGCCGCCGCCACGACAUCCCUGUUUGAACAGGCUAGUUCCCAAAUCCAUCAUCAAACAUUGACUUGUUUGCCUCAUAGGGGGGAAUUGGAGCUUCUUUAUUCAGUGUCACCUUCGCCGCUGCCGAAGUCAAAACGUGUAAUGACUCAAAAUCUAGGCCACUGGGGCCCUAAAACAUAAACCUACCCAAUCUGCACGCGCGGCAUCCGGUGACCCUCCUCACCACUACCGACAGAGAGGUCAUCAGAGGACGGGGGCCGCUGUAGGACGGCGCCGGAAGGCUGGCUUCUCCUGGCGGCGGCUAGGGUUCCAGUCUGCACACACCAAAGGAAAAACAUAUAUCUUCUCUUUGUACCUGCACCAGUCUAAAUGUAUAAUUUUUUUGAACACAAUACGAUCGAAGUCGCUCACAUACACGAGCAUACUCUCACACCUAUGAACGCACGCACACACAUCCUACCCCUAUGAGCAUUGAGAGACUGAGCCAACAUGGCAUCUUGAGUUUUUGUGGAGUCAUCAUAGGCGCCUCGCAGUCGAUGGAAACGUCUACUUCCACCGAAUGUAAGCCUAGGAUUUGAACCCUGGUGGGCUAGGGAUACCACUGUCUUCCUAACCAUCCAACCAUAGGUUGGUUUGCUUUUAGUAACUAGUUCUCUCAAAUUGUAUUUCCACUACAAGAUACACUCUGUUCUCUCUCUCAACCGGGAUUACAAGUGAUACAGGAAGGAGGAAGGCAAAGUAGAUGCCGUGCCUUGAUCCAAGCCAAGAUGUCUUUCCCUCUCGAUCUCCUGGCUUUAAGUAGUGUUAACCCACUCGGGCCCAUGAAUCUCCUGUUGGGUUGCUUGAUCCUCGUUGGCCUUGCAAUGGCGCGCACCUCUCCUUGAUUGGUCCACUUGUCAUCCUUUCCUGCUGGCGUGGAUGAGACUACUGCCAUGGCAGCGCUUUUGCCGCCGCACGUUUAGUUGCCAUGGCAGUGUUCUUGUCAUUCCCGCCCAGUGGCUUGUUUGGGAUGCUAACAUCCCCCCUCCUUGACCCGCGCGGCUUGCCCCCAAGCCGAUAAUUGAGGAAAGCGAUGAUAAAGCGAGAGAGCAUCCUCCCAUGUGGCAUCGAGAAUGUCAGGAUCGGACCAACAAACCAAGAGUUGCUCGUGGCAGCCGGAGGGAGUGCGUCGCCAUCGGCUGUUCAAAAUUUCAAAUAGAACAAAGGUGCCAUCAGAUGGAAUGGGUAAGUCCGAACAAGUAGUCAUAUCUGGUGUCAAGUCUUCUCUUAGUUGGGACACAUGAAAAAUAGGGUGAACUUUGGAAGUGGCUGGCAAAUUCAGCUCAUACAUGAUGACCCACAAGUAUAGGGAUCAAUCGUAGUCCUUUCGAUAAGUAAGAGUGUCGAACCCAACGAGGAGCAGAAGGAAAUGACAAGCGGUUUUCAGUAAGGUAUUUUCCGCGAGCACUGAAAUUAUCGAUAACGAGUAGUUUUGUAGCAAGGUAAUUCGUAAAGGGUAACAAGUGUAACAAAAGUGCAACAAGGUGGCCCAAUCCUUUUUAUAGCAAAGGAUAAGCCUAGACGAACUCUUAUAUAAAGCAAAGCGCUCCCGAGGACAAAUGGGAAUUAUCGUCAAGUUAGUUUUCAUCAUGCUCAUAUGAUUCACGUUCGUUACUUUGAUAAUUUGAUAUGUGGAUGGACCGAUGCUUGGGUGUUGUCCUUACUUGGACAAGCCUCCCACUUAUGAUUAACCCCUCUCGCAAGCAACCGCAAUUACGAAAGAAGAAUUAAGAUAAAUCUAACCAUAGCAUUAAACAUGUGGAUCUAAAUCAGCCCCUUAAGAAGCAACACAUAAACUAGGGUUUAAGCUUCUGUCACUCUAGCAAGGGAGCCUAGGGCAGGCGGUCCUAUAGGUAAGGAAAGGGGGCGCCUAAGGCAAGGGAGCCGCCACCCCCCCUCCUGCCUUCUCCACCCUCCUAGGAAGGAAAGGGGGGGGGAGGGCAGGCCGCUGGCCCCCUUGGGGCGUCCUAGGCUGCCUCCCCUCCUCCCCCACCUAUAUAUAUGAGAGGAGGGAGAGGGGCAACACACCUGAAGGAAAUAUGCCCUAGAGGCAAUAAUAAAGUUGUUAUUUUAUAUUUUCUUAUUCAUGAUAAAAGUUUAUUAUUCAUGCUAGAAUUGUAUUGAUUGGAAACCUAAAUACAUGUGUGAAUACAUAGACAAACACUGUGUCCCUAGUGAGCCUCUACUUGACUAGCUCGUUGAUCAAAGAUGGUUAAGGUUUCAUAACCAUGGACAUGAGUUGUCAUUUGAUAACGGGAUCACAUCAUUAGGAGAAUGAUGUGAUGGACAAGAACCAUCCGGUAGCUUAGCAUAAUGAUCAUUCAGUUUUAUUGCUAUUGCUUUGUUCAUGUCAAAUACAUAUUCCUUCGACUAUGAGAUUAUGCAACUCCCGGAUACUGGAGGAAUGCCUUAUGUGCUAUCAAACAUCACAACGUAACUGGGUGAUUAUAAAGAUGCUCUACAGGUAUCUCCGAAGGUGUCUGUUGAGUUGGCACAGAUCAAGAUUAGGAUUUGUCACUCCGAGUAUCGAAGAGGUUUCUCUGGGCCCUCUCGGUAAUACACAUCAUAAGCUUACAAGCAAACGACUAAGGAGUUAGUUACGAGGUGAUGUAUUAAGGAAUGAGUAAAGAGACUUGAUGGUAAUGAGAUUGAACUAGGUAUGAAGAUACUGGCGAUCGAAUCUCGGGCAAGUAACAUACCGAUGGACAAAGGGAAUUACGUAUGUUGUCAUAACAGUUCGACCGAUAAAGAUCUUCGUAGAAUAUGUAGGAGCCAAUAUGAGCAUCCAGGUUUCGCUAUUGGUUAUUGACCGGAGAGGUGCCUCGGUCAUGUCUACAUAGUUCUCGAACCCGUAGGGUCCGCACACUUAACGUUCGAUGACGAUAUAAUAUUAUAUGAGUUAUGUGAUUUGGUGACCGAAUGUUGUUUGGAGUCCCGGAUUAGAUCACAGACAUGACGAGGAGUCUCGAAAUGGUCGAGAGGUAAAGAUUGAUAUAUAGGACGAUGGUAUUCGGACACCAGAAGUGUUCCGGAGGGUACCAGGUACAUAUCGGGUCACGGGAAGGGGUUCCGGGCAUCCCCGGCAAAAGAUAUGGGCCUUAUGGGCCAAGAGGGGAAAUGCACCAGCCACAAGGGGCUGGUGCGCCCCCCAUAUGGGCCGUCCAAGGUGGAGAAGGAAAGGGGAAGGAGGAAAGGAAAGGGGAAGGAGGAAAGGAAAGAAAGGGAAUAGGAUUCCCCCUUCCUUCCCCUCCCCCCUCUUUCCUUCCCCCUCCGAUAUAUAUGGCAGGGGAGGGGGGCUUGGGAGGAGACCAAGUAGGAUUCGGUCCUACUUGGGGCGCCUCAUGGCCUCUUCCCUCCCCCUCCCACCUAUAUAUAUGUGGGGGGCAUCCCUAGCACACCCCAGACAAUUGCCUAGCCGUGUGCGGCGCCCCCCUCCACAGUUUACACCCCGGUCAUAUUCUCACGAUGCUUAGGCGAAGCCCUGCGAGGAUCACUUCACCAUCACCGUCACCAUGCCGUCGUGCUAGCGGAACUCAUCUACUACCUCGACGUCUUGCUGGAUCAAGAAGACGAUGUACGUCAUCGAGCUGAGCGUGUGUAGAACGCGGAGGUGUCGUACGUUCAGUACUUGAUCGGUUGGAUUGCGAAGAACUUCGACUACAUCAACCGCGUUGUUAAACGCUUCCGCUUACGGUCUACAAGGGUACGUAGACACACUCUCCCCUCGUUUCUAUGCAUCUCCAUGGAUGGAUCAUUGCAUGUGCGUAGAAUUUUUUUUGUUUUCCAUGCUACGUUUCCCAACGGUGGCAUCCGAGCCAGGUCUAUGCGUAGAUGAUAUGCGCGAGUAGAACACAAAGAGUUGUGGGCGGUCAUAGUCAUACUGCUUACCACCAACGUCUUAUUUUGAUUCGGCCGUAUUGUGGGAUGAAGCGGCCCGGACCAACCUUACAUGUCCACGCACAUGAGACUGGUUCCACCGACAAACAUGCAACUAGUUUUGCAUAAAGGUGGCUGGCGGGUGUCUGUUUCUCCUAUUUAGUUGAAUCGAAUUUGACUGCGCCCGGUCCUUGAAGAAGGUUAAAACAACAAACUUGAUGAAACACCGUUGUGGUUUUGUGCGUAGGUAAGAAUGGUUCUUGCUAAAAGCCCGUGGCAGCCACGUAAAACUUGCAACAACAAAGUAGAGGACAUCUAACUUGUUUUUGUAGGGCAUGUUGUGAUGUGAUAUGGUCAAGACAUGAUGUGAUAUACGUUAUUGUAUGAGAUGAUCAUGUUUUGUAAAAGUUAUCGGCAACCGACAGGAGCCUUAUGGUUGUCUCUUUAUUGUAUGAAUUGCAAACGCCAUGUAAUUGCUUUACUUUAUCACUAUGCGUUAGCGAUAGUUGUAGAAGAAAUAGUUGGCGAGACGACCACGACGCAACGAUGGAGAUCAAGGUGUCGAGCCGGUGAAGAUGGAGAUCAUGACGAUGCUUUGGAGAUGGAGAUCAAAAGCACAAGAUGAUGAUGGCCAUAUCAUGUCACACAUUUUGAUUGCAUGUGAUGUUUAUCUUUUAUGCAUCUUAUAUUGCUUAGUACGGCGGUAGCAUUAUAAGAUGAUCCCUUAACUAAAUUUCAAGGCAUAAGUGUUCUCCCUGAGUAUGCACUGUUGCGACAGUUCGUCAUGUUGAGACACCACCUGAUGAUCGGGUGUGAUAGACUCUACGUUCACAUCAACGGGUGCAAGACAGUUUUGCACAUGCGGAAUACUCGGGUUAAACUUGACGAGCCUAGCAUGUACAGACAUGGCCUCGGAACACUGGAGAUCGAAAGGUCGAACGUGAAUCAUAUAGUAGAUAUGAUCAACAUAGAGAUGUUCACCAUUGAUGACUACCCCAUCUCACGUGAUGAUCGGACAUGAGUUAGUUGAUUUGGAUCACGUAUCACUUAGAUGACUUGAGGGAUGUCUAUUUAAGUGGGAGUUAUUUAGUAAUUUGAUUAAUUGAAUUUAAUUUAUCAUGAACCUAGUCUUAAUAGUUUUGCAUAUCUAUGUUGUAGAUCAAUAGCUCGCGAUAUAGCUCCCUUAUUUUUUGAUAUGUUCCUAGAGAAAAAUAAGUUGAAAGAUGAUAGUAGCAAUGAUGCAGACUAGGUCCGUGAUCUGAGGAUUAUCCUCAUUGCUGCACAGAAGAAUUGUGUCCUUUAUGCACCGCUAGGUGACAGACCUAUUGCAGGAGCAGAUGCAGACGUUAUGAAUGUUUGGCAAGCUCGAUAUGAUGACUACUUGAUAGUUCAGUGCACCAUGCUUUACAGUUUAGAACCGGGACUUCAAAAACGUUUUGAACGCCACGGAGCAUAUGAGAUGUUCCAAGAGCUGAAAUUGGUAUUUCAGACUCAUGCCCGUGUCAAGAGGUAUGAGACCUUUGACAGUACUUUGCCUACAAGAUGGAGGAGAAUAGCUCAGCUAGUGAGCAUGUGCUCAGAAUAUCUGGGCACUACAAUCGCUUGAAUCAAGUGGGAGUUAAUCUUCCAGAUAAGAUAGUGAUUGACAGAGUUCUCUAGUCACUAUCACCAAGCUACUAAAACUUCGUGAUGAGCUAUAAUGUGCAAGGGAUAACGGAAAGGAUUCCCGAGCUCUUCGCGAUGCUGAAUCGGAGAAGGUAGAAAUCAAGAAAGAGCAUGAAGUGUUGAUGGUUAACAAGACCACUAGUUUCAAGAAAAGGGCAAAGGAAAAGAAAGGGAACUUCAAGAAGAAUGACAAGCAAGUUGCCACUCCCGUGAAGAAGCCCAAAGCUAGACCUAAGCCUGAAACUAAGUGCUUCUACUGCAAAGGGAAUGGUCACAUGAAGCGGAACUACCCCAAAUACUUGGCGGAUAAGAAGGAUGGCAAAGUGAACAAAUGUAUAUUUGAUAUACAUGUUAUUAAUGUGUACUUUACUAGUGUUCAUAGUAACCCCAGGGUAUUUGAUAUCGGUUCAGUUGCUAAGAUUAGUAACUCGAAACAAGAGUUGCAAAAUGAACAGAGACUAGUUAAGGGCGAGGUGACAAUGUGUGUUGGAAGUGAUUCCAAGGUUCAUAAGAUCACCAUCGCACACUCCCUCUACCUUCGGGAUUAGUGUUGGACCUAAAUAAAUGUUAUUUAGUGUUUGCGUUGAGCAUGAAUAUGAUUGGAUCAUGUUUAUUGCGAUACAAUUAUUCAUUUUAGUCAGAGAAUAAUUGUUGUUCUAUUUACAUGAAUAAAACCUUCUAUGGUCAUACACCCAAUGUAAAUGGUUUAUUGAAUCUCGAUCGUAGUGAUACACAUAUUCGUAAUAUUGAUGCCAAAAGAUGCAAAGUUGAUAAUGAUAGUGCAACAUAUUUGUGGCACUGUCGUUUAGGUCAUAUUGGUAUAAAGCGCAUGAAGAAACUCCAUACAGAUGGAUUUUUGGAAUCACUUGAUUAUGAAUCAUUUGAUACUUGUGAACCAUGCCUCAUUGGCAAGAUGACUAAAACUCCGUUCUCCGAAACAAUGGAGCGAACCAAUGACUUAUUGGAAAUAAUACAUACUGAUGUAUGUGGUCCGAUGAGUGUUGAGGCACGCAGCGGGUAUCGUUAUUUUCUGACCUUCAGAGAUGAUUUGAGAAGAUAUGGGUAUAUCUACUUAAUGAAACACAAGUCUGAAACAUUUGAAAAGUUCAAGGAAUUUCAGAGUGAAUUGGAGAAUCAUCGUAACAAGAAAAUAAAGUUUCUACGAUCUGAUCGUGGAGGCGAAUAUUUGAGUUACGAGUUUGGCCUUUGUUUAAAACAAUGUGGAAUUGUUUCACAACUCACGCCACCUGGAACACCACAGCGUAAUGGUGUGUCCGAACUUCGUAACCGUACUUUAUUAGAUAUGGUGCAUUCUAUGAUGUCUCUUACCGAUUUACCACUAUCGGUUUGGGGUUAUGCAUUAGAGACAACUGCAUUCACGUUAAAUAGGGCACCGUCUAAAUCCAUUGAGACGACACCGUAUGAACUAUGGUUUGGCAAGAAACCUAAGCUGUCAUUUCUUAAAUUUGGGGAUGUAAUGCUUAUGUCAAAAGACUUCAGCCUGAUAAGCUCGAACCCAAAUCAGAGAAGUGCGUCUUCAUAGGAUACCCUAAGGAUACAAUUGGGUACACCUUCUACCACAGAUCCGAAGGCAAGAUCUUUGUUGCUAAGUUUGGAUCCUUUCUAGAGAAGUAGUUUCUCUGAAAAGAAGUGAGUGGGAGGAAAGUAGAACUUGAUGAGGUAAUUGUACCUUCUCUCGAAUUGGAAGGUAGCACAUCACAGAAAACCGUUCCUGUGAUGCCUACACCAACUACAGAGGAAGCUAAUGAUGAUGAUCAUGAAACUUCAGAUCAAGUUACUACUGGACUUCGUAGGUCGACUAGAGCAUGAUCCGCACCAGAGUGGUACGGUAAUCCUGUUCUGGAAGUCAUGUUACUAGACCAAGGCGAACCUACGAACUAUGAAGAAGCUAUGUGUUGGAAAUAUGCCCUAGAGGCAAUAAUAAAUGGUUAUUAUUAUAUUUCUUUGUUCAUGGUAAUUGUCUAUUGUUCAUGCUAUAAUUGUAUUGUUCGGAAAUCGUAAUACAUGUGUGAACACAUAGACCACAACGUGUCCCUAGUAAGCCUCUAGUUGACUAGCUCGUUGAUCAACAGAUAGUCAUGGUUUCCUGACUAUGGACAUUGGAUGUCAUUGAUAACGGGAUCACAUCAUUAGGAGAAUGAUGUGAUGGACAAGACCCAAUCCUAAGCAUAGCAUAAAAGAUCGUGUAGUUUCGUUUGCUAGAGCUUUUCCAAUGUCAAGUAUCUUUUCCUUAGACCAUGAGAUCGUGCAACUCCCGGAUACCGUAGGAGUGCUUUGGGUGUGCCAAACGUCACAACGUAACUGGGUGACUAUAAAGGUGCACUACGGGUAUCUCCGAAAGUGUCUGUUGGGUUGGCACGGAUCGAGACUGGGAUUUGUCACUCUGUGUGACGAAGAGGUAUCUCUGGGCCCACUCGGUAAUGCAUCAUCAUAAUGAGCUCAAUGUGACUAAGGCGUUAGUCACGGGAUCAUGCAUUGCGGUACGAGUAAAGAGACUUACCGGUAACGAGAUUGAACAAGGUAUUGGGAUACCGACGAUCGAAUCUCGGGCAAGUAACAUACCGAUUGACAAAGGGAAUUGCAUACGAGAUUGAUUGAGUCCUCGACACCGUGGUUCAUCCGAUGAGAUCAUCGUGGAACAUGUGGGAGCCAACAUGGGUAUCCAGAUCCCGCUGUUGGUUAUUGACCGGAGAGGCGUCUCGGUCAUGUCUGCAUGUCUCCCGAACCCGUAGGGUCUACACACUUAAGGUUCGGUGACGCUAGGGUUGUAGAGAUAUGUGUAUGCGGAACCCCGAAAGUUGUUCGGAGUCCCGGAUGAGAUCCCGUACGUCACGAGAGGUUCCGGAAUGGUCCGGAGGUGAAGAAUUAUAUAUAGGAAGUCAAGUUUCGGCCACCGGGAAAGUUUCGGGGGUUACCGGUAUUGUACCGGGACCACCGGAAGGGUCCCGGGGGUCCACCGGAUGGGGCCACCUAUCCCGGAGGGCCCCGUGGGCUGAAAGUGGAAGGGAACCAGCCCCUAGUGGGCUGGGCGCCCCCCCAUGGGCCUCCCCCCAUGCGCCUAGGGUUGGGAACCCUAGGGUGGGGGGGCUUCCCCCUUGCCUUGGGGGGCAAGGCAACCCCUUCCCCCCUUUGGCCGCCGCCCCCCUUGGGAUCCCAUCUCCAGGGCCCCCCCCAGGGGGCCUAUAUAAAGGGGGGGGGAGGGAGGGCAGCAACCUACAGCCUUGGCGCCUCCCUCCUCCCCUGCAACACCUCUCUCUCUCUCGCAGAAGCUCGACGAAGCCCUGCCGGAGACCCGCUACAUCCACCACCACGCCAUCGUGCUGCUGGAUCUCCAUCAACCUCUCCUUCCCCCUUGCUGGAUCAAGAAGGAGGAGACGUCGCUGCACCGUACGUGUGUUGAAUGCGGAGGUGCCGUCCGUUCGGCACUCGGUCAUCGGUGAUUUGGAUCACGGCGAGUACGACUCCGUCAUCCACGUUCAAUGGAACGCUUCCGCUCGCGAUCUACAAGGGUAUGUAGAUGCACUCCCUUCCCCUCGUUGCUAGUAGACUCCAUAGAUGCAUCUUGGUGAGCGUAGGAUAAUUUUAAAAUUAUGCUACGAUUCCCAACAGUGGCAUCAUGAGCCAGGCCUAUGCGUAGUUACUAUGCACGAGUAGAACACAAAGCAGUUGUGGGCGUUGAGUUUGCCAAUUCUUCUUGCCGCUACUAGUCGUUUCUUGUUUCGGCGGCAUUGUAGGAUGAAGCGGCCCGGACCGACCUUACACGUACGCUUACGUGAGACAGGUUCCACCGAUUGACAUGCACUAGUUGCAUAAGGUGGCUAGCGGGUGUCUGUCUCUCCUACUUUAGUCGGAACAGAUUCGAUGAAAAGGGUCCUUAUGAAGGGUAAAUAGAAAUUGGCAAAUCACGUUGUGGUCAUACGUAGGUAAGAAACGUUCUUGAUAGAAACCUACAAACCACGUAAAAACUUGCAACAACAAUUAGAGGACGUCUAACUUGUUUUUGCAGCAAGUGCUAUGUGAUGUGAUAUGGCCAGAAGAUGUGAUGAAUGAUAUAUGUGAUGUAUGAGAUUGAUCAUAUUCUUGUAAUAGGAAUCACGACUUGCAUGUCGAUGAGUAUGACAACCGACAGGAGCCAUAGGAGUUGUCUUUAUUAUUUUGUAUGACCUGCGUGUCAUUGAAUAACGCCAUGUAAAUUACUUUACUUUGUUGCUAAACACGUUAGCCAUAGAAGUAGAAGUAAUCGUUGGCGUGACGACUUCAUGAAGACACAAUGAUGGAGAUCAUGGUGUCAUGCCGGUGACGAAGAUGAUCAUGGUGCCCCGAAGAUGGAGAUCAAAGGAGCAUAAUGAUAUUGGCCAUAUCAUGUCACUAUUUGAUUGCAUGUGAUGUUUAUCAUGUUUUUGCAUCUUAUUUGCUUAGAACGACGGUAGUAAGUAAGAUGAUCCCUUAUAAUAAUUUUAAGAAAGUGUUCAGCCUAACUGUGCACGGUUGCGAAGGUUCGUUGUUUCGAAGCACCACGUGAUGAUCGGGUGUGAUAGAUCCUAACGUUCGAAUACAACGGGUGUUGACGAGCCUAGCAUGUACAGACAUGGCCUCGGAACACACGCAAUACACUUAGGUUGACUUGACGAGCCUAGCAUGUACAGACAUGGCCUCGGAACACGGAGGACCGAAAGGUCGAGCAUGAGUCGUAUAGAAGAUACGAUCAACAUGGAGAUGUUCACCGAUCUUGACUAGUCCGUCUCACGUGAUGAUCGGACACGGCCUAGUUGACUCGGAUCAUGUUUCACUUAGAUGACUAGAGGGAUGUCUAUCUGAGUGGGAGUUCAUAAAAUAAUUUGAUUAUAUGAACUUAAUUAUCAUGAACUUAGUCUAAAAUCUUUACACUCUGUCUUGUAGAUCAAAUGGCCAACGUUGUCCUCAAUUUCAACGCGUUCCUAGAGAAAACCAAGCUGAAAGAUGAUGGCAGCAAUUAUACGGACUGGGUCCGGAACCUGAGGCUCAUCCUCAUAGUAGCCAAGAAAUAUUAUGUCUUAGAAGCACCGCUAGGUGAAGCACCAAUCCCUGAGAACCAAGACGUUAUGAACGCCUGGCAAACACGUGCUGAUGAUUACUCCCUCGUUCAGUGCGGCAUGCUUUACAGCUUAGAACCGGGUCUCCAAAAGCGUUUUGAGAAACAUGGAGCAUAUGAGAUGUUCGAGGAGCUGAAAAUGGUUUUCCAAGCUCAUGCCCGGGUCGAGAGAUAUGAUGUCUCCGACAAGUUCUUCAGCUGUAAGAUGGAGGAGAACAGUUCUGUUAGUGAGCACAUACUCAGAAUGUCUGGGUUGCACAACCGCUUAACUCAGCUGGGAGUUAAUCUCCCGGAUGACGCGGUCAUUGACAGAAUCCUCCAGUCGCUUCCACCAAGCUACAAGAGCUUUGUGAUGAACUUCAAUAUGCAGGGGAUGGAAAAGACCAUCCCUGAGGUAUAUUCAAUGCUGAAAUCAGCGGAGGUGGAGAUCAGAAAAGAACAUCAAGUGUUGAUGGUGAAUAAAACCACUAAGUUCAAGAAGGGCAAGGGUAAGAAGAACUUCAAGAAGGACGGCAAGGGAGUUGCCGCGCCCGGUAAGCCAGUUACUGGGAAGAAGUCGAAGAAUGGACCCAAGCCUGAAACUGAGUGCUUUUAUUGCAAGGGAAGUGGUCACUGGAAGCGGAACUGCCCCAAAUACUUAGCGGACAAGAAGAAGGCCGACAACACCAAAGGUAUAUGUGAUAUACAUGUAAUUGAUGUGUACCUUACCAGUACUCGUAGUAGCUCCUGGGUAUUUGAUACCGGUGCGGUUGCUCAUAUUUGUAACUCAAAACAGGAACUACGGAAUAAACGGAGACUGGCGAAGGACGAGGUGACGAUGCGCGUCGGGAAUGGUUCCAAGGUCGAUGUGAUCGCCGUCGGCACGCUACCUCUGCAUCUACCCACGGGAUUAGUUUUAAACCUCAAUAAUUGUUAUUUAGUGCCAGCUUUGAGCAUGAACAUUGUAUCUGGAUCUCGUUUAAUUCGAGAUGGCUACUCAUUUAAAUCCGAGAAUAAUGGUUGUUCUGUUUAUUUGAGAGAUAUGUUUUAUGGUCAUGCCCCGCUGGUCAAUGGUUUAUUUUUGAUGAAUCUCGAACGUGAUGUUACACAUAUUCAUAGUGUGAAUACCAAAAGAUGUAAAGUUGAUAACGAAAGUCCCACAUACUUGUGGCACUACCGCCUUGGUCACAUUGGUGUCAAGCGCAUGAAGAAGCUCCAUGCAGAUGGACUUUUGGAGUCUCUUGAUUACGAAUCAUUUGACACAUGCGAACCAUGCCUCAUGGGUAAGAUGACCAAGACUCCGUUCUCCGGAACAAUGGAGCGAGCAACCAACUUAUUGGAAAUCAUACAUAUCGAUGUGUGCGGUCCAAUGAGUGUUGAGGCUCGCGGAGGAUAUCGUUAUGUUCUCACUCUCACUGAUGACUUAAGUAGAUAUGGGUAUGUCUACCUAAUGAAACACAAGUCUGGAACCUUUGAAAAGUUCAAGGAAUUUCAGAGUGAAGUUGAGAAUCAACGUGACAGAAAAAUAAAAUUCUUACGAUCAGAUCGUGGUGGAGAAUAUUUAAGUCACGAGUUUGGUGCACACUUAAGGAAAUGUGGAAUAGUUUCACAACUCACGCCGCCUGGAACACCUCAGAGAAAUGGUGUGUCCGAACGUCGUGAUCGCACUCUAUUGGAUAUGGUGCGAUCUAUGAUGUCUCUUACCGAUUUACCGCUCUCAUUUUGGGGUUAUGCUUUAGAGACUGCCACAUUCACUUUAAAUAGGGCUCCGUCUAAAUCCGUUGAGACGACACCGUAUGAAUUAUGGUUUGGGAAGAAACCUAAGCUGUCGUUUCUAAAAGUUUGGGGAUGCGAUGCUUAUGUCAAGAAACUUCAACCUGAAAAGCUCGAACCCAAGUCGGAAAAAUGCGUCUUCAUAGGAUACCCUAAGGAAACUAUUGGGUAUACCUUCUACCUCAGAUCCGAAGGCAAGAUCUUCGUUGCCAAGAACGGGUCCUUUCUGGAGAAGGAGUUUCUCUCGAAAGAAUUGAGUGGGAGGAAAGUGGAACUUGAUGAGGUGAUAGUCACCCCUUCCGAACCGGAAAGUAGCGCAGCGCGGGAAAAUGUUCCUGUGGUGCCUACACCGACUGGGGAGGAAGUUAAUGAUGAUGAUCAUGAAGCUUCAGAUCAAGUUACUGAACUUCGUAGGUCCACAAGGACACGUUCCGCACCAGAGUGGUACGGCAACCCUGUCCUGGAAAUCAUGUUGUUAGACAACGGUGAACCUUUGAACUAUGAAGAAGCGAUGGCGGGCCCGGAUUCCGACAAAUGGCUAGAAGCCAUGAAAUCCGAGAUAGAAUCCAUGUAUGAAAACAAAGUAUGGACUUUGACUGACUUGCCCGAUGAGCGGCGAGCCAUAGAAAACAAAUGGAUAUUUAAGAAGAAGACGGACGCAGAUGGUAAUGUGACCAUCUACAAAGCUCGACUUGUCGCUAAGGGUUAUCGACAAGUUCAAGGGGUUGACUACGAUGAGACUUUCUCACCCGUAGCGAAGCUGAAGUCCGUCCGAAUCAUGUUAGCAAUUGCCGCAUACUAUGAUUAUGAGAUAUGGCAGAUGGACGUCAAAACGGCAUUCCUUAACGGCUUCCUUAAGGAAGAGUUGUAUAUGAUGCAGCCGGAAGGUUUUGUCGAUCCUAAGAAUGCUAACAAAGUAUGCAAGCUCCAGCGCUCAAUCUAUGGGCUGGUCCAAGCAUCUCGGAGUUGGAACAUUCGCUUUGAUGAGAUGAUCAAAGCGUUUGGGUUUACACAGACUUAUGGAGAAGCCUGUGUUUACAAGAAAGUGAGUGGGAGCUCUGUAGCAUUUCUCUUAUUAUAUGUGGAUGACAUAUUAUUGAUGGGAAAUGAUAUGGAAUUCUUGGAAAGUAUUAAGGCCUAUUUGAAUAAGUGUUUUUCAAUGAAGGACCUUGGAGAAGCUGCUUAUAUAUUAGGCAUCAAGAUCUAUAGAGAUAGAUCAAGACGCCUCAUUGGUCUUUCACAGAGUACAUACCUUGACAAGAUAUUGAAGAAGUUCAGUAUGGAUCAGUCCAAGAAGGGGUUCUUGCCUGUAUUGCAAGGUGUGCAAUUGAGCACGGCUCAAUGCCCGACCACGGCAGAAGAUAUAGAAAAGAUGAGUGUCAUCCCCAAUGCCUCGGCCAUAGGGUCUAUUAUGUAUGCCAUGCUGUGUACCAGACCUGAUGUAAACCUUGCCGUAAGUUUGGUAGGAAGAUACCAAAGUAAUCCCGACAUGGAACACUGGACAGCGGUCAAGAAUAUCCUGAAGUACCUGAAGAGGACUAAGGAUAUGUUUCUCGUUUAUGGAGGUGACGAAGAGCUCGUCGUAAAGGGUUACGUCGACGCUAGCUUCGACACAGAUCUGGAUGACUCGAAGUCACAGACCGGAUACGUGUAUAUUUUGAAUGGAGGAGCAGUAAGCUGGUGCAGUUGCAAGCAAAGCGUCGUGGCGGGAUCUACAUGUGAAGCGGAGUACAUGGCAGCCUCGGAGGCAGCACAGGAAGCAGUCUGGAUGAAGGAGUUCAUUACCGACCUAGGGGUGAUUCCCAAUGCGUCGGGCCCGAUGACUCUCUUCUGUGACAACACUGGAGCUAUUGCCCUUGCGAAGGAGCCCAGGUUUCACAGGAAGACCAGGCAUAUCAAGCGUCGCUUCAACUCCAUUCGUGAAAGUGUUCAAAAUGGAGACAUAGAUAUUUGUAAAGUACACACGGACCUGAAUGUAGCAGAUCCGUUGACUAAACCUCUCCCUAGGGCAAAACAUGAUCAACACCAGGACGCAAUGGGUGUUCGAUUCAUCACAAUGUAACUAGAUUAUUGACUCUAGUGCAAGUGGGAGACUGUUGGAAAUAUGCCCUAGAGGCAAUAAUAAAUGGUUAUUAUUAUAUUUCUUUGUUCAUGGUAAUUGUCUAUUGUUCAUGCUAUAAUUGUAUUGUUCGGAAAUCGUAAUACAUGUGUGAACACAUAGACCACAACGUGUCCCUAGUAAGCCUCUAGUUGACUAGCUCGUUGAUCAACAGAUAGUCAUGGUUUCCUGACUAUGGACAUUGGAUGUCAUUGAUAACGGGAUCACAUCAUUAGGAGAAUGAUGUGAUGGACAAGACCCAAUCCUAAGCAUAGCAUAAAAGAUCGUGUAGUUUCGUUUGCUAGAGCUUUUCCAAUGUCAAGUAUCUUUUCCUUAGACCAUGAGAUCGUGCAACUCCCGGAUACCGUAGGAGUGCUUUGGGUGUGCCAAACGUCACAACGUAACUGGGUGACUAUAAAGGUGCACUACGGGUAUCUCCGAAAGUGUCUGUUGGGUUGGCACGGAUCGAGACUGGGAUUUGUCACUCCGUGUGACGGAGAGGUAUCUUUGGGCCCACUCGGUAAUGCAUCAUCAUAAUGAGCUCUAUGUGACUAAGGCGUUAGUCACGGGAUCAUGCAUUACGGUACGAGUAAAGAGACUUGCCGGUAACGAGAUUGAACAAGGUAUUGGGAUACCGACGAUCGAAUCUCGGGCAAGUAACAUACCGAUUGACAAAGGGAAUUGUAUACGGGAUUGAUUGAAUCCUCGACACCGUGGUUCAUCCGAUGAGAUCAUCGUGGAACAUGUGGGAGCCAACAUGGGUAUCCAGAUCCCGCUGUUGGUUAUUGACCGGAGAGGCGUCUCGGUCAUGUCUGCAUGUCUCCCGAACCCGUAGGGUCUACACACUUAAGGUUCGGUGACGCUAGGGUUGUAGAGAUAUGUGUAUGCGGAAACCCGAAAGUUGUUAAUCACAUGGCGUUGUGAACUAGAUUAUUGACUCUAGUAAACCCUUUGGGUGUUAAUCACAUGGCGAUGUGAACUAUUGGUGUUAAUCACAUGGCGAUGUGAACUAGAUUAUUGACUCUAGUGCAAGUGGGAGACUAAAGGAAAUAUGCCCUAGAGGCAAUAAUAAAGUUGUUAUUUUAUAUUUCCUUAUUCAUGAUAAAAGUUUAUUAUUCAUGCUAGAAUUGUAUUGAUCGGAAACCUAAAUACAUGUGUGAAUACAUAGACAAACACUGUGUCCCUAGUGAGCCUCUACUUGACUAGCUCGUUGUUCAAAGAUGGUUAAGGUUUCAUAACCAUGGACAUGUGUGGUCAUUUGAUAACGGGAUCACACCAUUAGGAGAAUGAUGUGAUAGACAAGACCCAUCCGUUAGCUUAGCAUAAUGAUCGUUCAGUUUUAUUGCUAUUGCUUUUUUCAUGUCAAAUACAUAUUCCUUCGACUAUGAGAUUAUGCAACUCCCGGAUACCGGAGGAAUGCCUUGUGUGCUAUCAAACGUCACAACAUAACUGGGUGAUCAUAAAGAUGCUCUACAGGUAUCUCCGAAGGUAUCUGUUGAGUUGGCAUAGAUCAAGAUUAGGAUUUGUCACUCUGAGUAUCGGAGAGGUAUCUCUGGGCCCUCUCGGUAAUACACAUCAUAAGCUUGUAAGCAAACGACUAAGGGGUUAGUCACGAGGUGAUGUAUUAUGGAACGAGUAAAGAGACUUGCCGGUAAGGAGAUUGAACUAGGUAUGAAGAUACCGACGAUCGAAUCUCGGGCAAGUAACAUACCGAUGGACAAAGGGAAUUAUGUGUGUUGUCAUAACGGUUCGACCGAUAAAGAUCUUCGUAGAAUAUGUAGGAGCCAAUAUGAUCAUCCAGGUUUCGCUAUUGGUUAUUGACCAGAGAGGUGUCUCGGUCAGUCUACAUAGUUCUCGAACCCGUAGGGUCCGCACGCUUAACGUUCGAUGAUGAUAUAAUAUUAUAUGAGUUAUGUGAUUUGGUGACCGAAUGUUGUUCGGAGUCCCGGAUGAGAUCACGGACAUGACGAGGAGUCUCUAAAUGGUUGAGAGGUAAAGAUUGAUAUAUAGGACGAUGGUAUUCAGACACCGGAAGUGUUCCGGAGGGUACCGGGUACAUAUCGGGUCACUGGAAGGGGUUCCAAGAUAUGGGCCUUAUGGGCCAAGAGGGGAAAUGCACCAGCCACAAGGGGCUAGUGCGCCCCCAUAUGGGCGGGCCAAGGUGGAGAAGGAAAGGGGAAGGAGGAAAGGAAAGAAAGGGAAUAUGAUUCCCCCUUCCUCCCCCUCCCCCUCUUUCCGUCCCCCUCCGAUAUAUAUGGCAGGGGGCGCGCGGCUUGGGACGAGCCCAAGUAGGAUUUGGUCCUACUUGGGGCGCCUCCUGGCCUCUCCCCUUCCCCUCCCACCUAUAUAUAUGUGGGGGGCACCCCUAGCACACCCCAAACAAUUGUCUAGCCGUGUGCGGUGCCCCCCUCCAUAGUUUACACCCCAGUCAUAUUCUCACGAUGCUUAGGCGAAGCCCUGCGAGGAUCACUUCACCAUCACCGUCGUGCUGACGGAACUCAUCUACUACCUCGACGUCUUUCUGGAUCAAGAAGACGAGGGACAUCACCGAGCUGAACGUGUGCAGAACGCGGAGGUGCCGUACGUUCAGUACUUGAUCGGUUGGAUCACGAAGAAGUUCAACUACAUCAACCGCGUUGUUAAACGCUUCCGCUUACGGUCUAAAAGGGUACGUAGACACACUCCCCCCUCGUUGCAAUGCAUCUCCAUGGAUAGAUCAUUGUGUGUGUGUAGAAUUUUUUUUGUUUUCCAUGCUACGUUUCCCAACAACACCACGAACACCAAGCUGUGUGCGGCGCCCCGUCUCCCUCUAGUUCUAGUUCCUCCUCUGUCCACGUCCGUUGUGCUUGGCGAAGCCCUACGGAUAGUUUCACCACCACCGUCACCACGCCAUUGUGCUGCCGGAACUCAUCUACUACUUCGCCUAUCUUUCUGGAUCAAGAAGGCGAGGGCAUCAUCGAGCUGAACAUGUGCUGAACGCGGACGUGCCGUACGUUCGAUACUUGACCGGGACGGAUCAUGAAGGUGUACGACUACAUCAACCGCGUUGAUAAACGCUUCCUCUUAGCGAUCUACAAGGGUAUGUAGAUGCUCUCCCCCUCUCGUAGCUAUGCAUCUUAAUGGAUAGAUCUUGCGUGUGCCUAGAAUCUUUUUGUUUUCCAUGCAACGUUCCCCAACACUAUGUUUAUUUGUUAAAUACUAAUGAUAAGGCUCUACACUACUUUAAAAUCUAUAAGGAAGAAGUUGAGAUCCAACUUGAAAAGAAAAUAAAUCAAGUUCGAUCUGAUCGUGGCAGAGAGUACUUUUCUAAUGAGUUUGAUUUAUUCUGUGGUACUAUUCAUGAGAGGACGCCUCCCUACUCACCCCAGUCAAACGGGGUUGCCGUACGGAAAACCCGUACUCUAACAGAUUUGGUUAACGCCAUGUUAGAUACAUCGGGUUUAUCCAAGGCAUGAUGGGGGGAGGUUGUAUUGACAUCAUGUCAUGUCCUGAAUAAAGUUCCCACAAAGGAUAAUGAGACUACUCCCUAUGAGCAAUGGGAGAAGAAAAGAACUACACUCUCUUACUUGCGCACUUGGGGCUGUUUGACGAAAGUCAAUGUGCCGAUAAUCAAAAAGCGUAAGUUGGGACCAAAGAGUAUGGACUGCGUUUUUCUGGGUUAUGCCAAGCAUAGCAUUGGCUAUAGAUUUCUAGUGGUGAAAUCUAAUGCACAUGACGUAAAGGUCGGUACGAUCAUGGAGUCUAAAGAUGCUACAUUCUUUGAGGAUAUUUUCCCCAUGAGAGAUAUGCAAAGCACUUCUAGACUGGAAUCUGAUGAGACUCCUGAAUCUUCCAUUCCGAUAUAAUAUUAUGAACAAAAAAGUGAUGAAAGUUCCAUGGAGGAUGACGAGGAAGCUCCUAUUAGGAGCAAGAGACAAAGGGUUGCAAAGUCCUUUGGUGACAAUUUCCUCAUGUACCUCGUGGAUGACACUCCUAGUUCCAUUUCAGAAGCCUAUGCAUUACCAGAUGUUGACUACUGGAAGGAUGCGGUCCGUAGCGAGGUGGAUUCCAUCUUAGCUAACGGGACAUGGGAGAUCAAUAAUCGUCCUUAUGGUUUCCAACCAUUGGGAUGUAAGUGGGUGUUCAAAAAAGCUUAGGACCGAUGGUAAUAUUAAGAAGUAUAAGGUUAGGAUUGUGGCCAAGUGUUAUACCCAGAAAGAAGAAGAUUUCUUCGAUACUUACUCACCUAUGGCUAGACUGACAACCAUUCGAGUGUUACUCUCGUUUGCUGCCUCAUAUGGUCUUCUUCUCCAUCAGAUGGACGUUAAGAUGACUUUCCUUAGCCUGCACUUGUUAUUGUUGUUGUUAGCAUCAUAUAGGUUGCUCACCUAGUUGCACAUCUAGACAACCUAUUUGUUGCUAACCUAAUUUGUUAAGAAAAGCUAAAAAUUGGUAGUUGCCUAUUCACCCCCCUCUAGUCAACCAUAUCGAUCCUUUCAAUUGGUACCAGAGCUUCGUCUCUUUAUUAAGGGUUUCACCACCCGAAGAGUAUGGUUGACACCGGGGAGGUUGUGCCCGAGGCCGUGGAGUUGACUUUGAUCACUCGAGACAACUUAAAUGAAGCCAUGGCUUCACUUAAGAUGUCUAUGAUGGCCAAAGGCAAGUCCAUGCUUAAAGAAUUACUUGAGGGGAUGAAAUCCACUCCCGGUCCCUUGCUUGUGGUUAAUCCCACGUUGCUUGCUCUAUACCAAGAGUUUAGGGAUUUGUCGAGUUGCGAGUGUGUUUUAUUGGCCUUGUCUUUCUCUCUCGCAAACUCUUUUGUCAGUCGUUUGUGCUUAUGAGACCUGGCUACCCUAUCAUAUGGUGUGAGACAUAUGCUAUCCUAUCCUAUGCUUAUCUAAUGCAUGUCUAGUACUUUGGUAGUUUGGGAGUUGCAUGCUUAAUGCUACCUCCUGAGCACUGCGUUGGUUUUCCCUUGAAGAGGAAAGGGUGAUGCAGUAAAGCAUCGUAAGUAUUUCCCUCAGUUUUUGAGAACCAAGGUAUCAACCCAGUAGGAGGCCACGCACGAGUCCCUCACACCUACACAAACAAAUAAAAUCCUCGCAACCAACGCAAUAAAGGGGUUGUCAAUCCCUUCACGGUCACUUACGAAAGUGAGAUCUGAUAGAUAUGAUAAGAUAAUAUUUUUGGUAUUUUUAUAAUAAAGAUGCAAAGUAAAAUAAAAGGCAAUAAAAAUAGCUAAGUGUUGGAAGAUUAAUAUGAUGGAAAAUAGACCCAGGGGCCAUAGGUUUCACUAGUGGCUUCUCUCGAGAGCAUAAGUAUUACGGUGGGUGAACAAAUUACUGUUGAGCAAUUGAUAGAAUUGAGCAUAGUUAUGAGAAUAUCUAGGUAUGAUCAUGUAUAUAGGCAUCACGUCCGUGACAAGUAGAACGACUCCUGCCUGCAUCUACUACUAUUACUCCACACAUCGACCGCUAUCCAGCAUGCAUCUAGAGUAUCAAGUUCAUAAGAACAGAGUAACGCUUUAAGCAAGAUGACAUGAUGUAGAGGGAUAAACUCAUGCAAUAUGAAAUAAACCCCAUCUUGUUAUCCUCGAUGGCAACAAUACAAUACGUGCCUUGCUGCCCCUGCUGUCACUGGGAAAGGACACCGCAAGAUUGAACCCAAAGCUAAGCACUUCUCCCAUUGCAAGAAAGAUCAAUCUAGUAGGCCAAACCAAACUGAUAAUUCGAAGAGACUUGCAAAGAUAACCAAUCGUACAUAAAAGAAUUCAUCGGUCUCAACAAACACACCGCAAAAGAAGAUUAUAUCGAAUAGAUCUCCAUGAGAAUCGUGGAGAACUUUGUAUUGAGAUCCAAAGAGAGAGAAGAAGCCAUCUAGCUAAUAACUAUGGACCCGAAGGUCUGAGGUAAACUACUCACACAUCAUCGGAGAUGCUAUGGUGUUGAUGUAGAAGCCCUCCGUGAUCAAUGCCCGCUCCGGCAGGAUGCCGGAAAAGGCCCCAAGAUGGGAUCUCACGGGUACAGAAGGUUGCGGCGGUGGAAUUAGGUUUUCGUGGAUGUUUCUGUUGGUUUGGGGGUACGUAGGUAUAUAUAGGAAAAAGAAGUACGUCGGUGGAGCAACAUGGGCCCCACGAGGGUGGAGGGCGCGCCCAGGGGGGUAGGCGCGCCCCCUACCUCGUGCCCUCCUGGUUGCUUUCUUGACGUAGGGUCCAAGUCCUCUGGAUCACGUUUGUUCCAAAAAUCACGUUCCCGAAGGUUUUAUUCCGUUUGGACUCUGUUUGAUAUUCUUUUUCCGCAAAACACUGAAAUAGGCAAAAAAAACAGCAAUUUGGGCUGGGCCUCCGGUUAAUAGGUUAGUCCCAAAAAUAAUAUAAAAGUGUAUAACAAAGCCCAUUAAUCAUCCAAAACAGAAUAUAAUAUAGCAUGAAGCAAUAAAAAAAUUAUAGAUACGUUGGAGACGUAUCAAGCAUCCCCAAGCUUAAUUCCUGCUCGUCCUCGAGUAGGUAAAUGAUAAAAACAAAUUUUUUGAUGCGGAAUGCUACUUGGCAUAUUUUUUUAAUGUAACCCUCUUAAUUGUGGUAUGAAUAUUCAGAUCCGAAAAUAUUCAAGAUAAAAGUUUAAUAUUGACAUAAAAGUAAUAGUACUUCAAGGAUACUAACUAAGCAAUUAUGUCUUCUCAAAAUAACAUGGCCAAAGAAAGUUCAUCCCUACAAAAUCAUAUAGUUUAGUCAUGCUCCAUUUUCGUCACACAAGAAUGCUCUCAUCAUGCACAACCCCGAUGACAAGCCAAGCAAUUGUUUCAUACUUUAGUAAUCUCAAACCUUUUCAACCUUGACGCAAUACAUGAGCGUGAGCCAUGGAUAUAACACUAUGGGUGGAAUAGAAUAUAAAGAUGGGGGUUAUGUAGAGAAGACAAAAAAGGAGAAAGUCUCACAUCAACGCGGCCAAUCAACGGGCUAUGGAGAUGCCCAUCGAUUGAUGUUAAUGCGAGGAGUAGGGAUUGCCAUGCAACGGAUGCACUAGAGCUAUAAAUGCAUAAAAGCUCAACAAAAGAAACUAAGUGGGUGUGCAUCCAACUUGCUUGCUCACGAAGACCUAAGGCAUUUGAGGAAGCCCAUUGUUGGAAUAUACAAGCCAAGUUCUAUAAUGAAAAAUUCCCACUAGUAUAUGAAAGUGACAAAACAAGAGACUCUAUCAUGAAGAUCAUGGUGCUACUUUGAAGCACAAGUGUGGAAAAAGGAUAGUAGCAUUGUCCCUUUUUUUAUUUUUGGGUCUUUCUCUUUUUUUUAUUGGGACAAUGCUCUAUGAAUGAUGAUCAUCACACUUCUAUUUAUUUACAACUCAAUGAUUACAAUUCGAUACUAGAACAAAGUAUGACUCUAUAUGAAUGCCUCCGGCGGUAUACCGGGAUGGGCAAUGAAUCAAGAGUGACAUGUAUGAAAAAUUAUGAACGGUGGCUUUGCCACAAAUACGAUGUCAACUACAUGAUCAUGCAAAGCAAUAUGACAAUGAUGAACGUGUCAUGAUGAACGGAAUGGUGGAAAGUUGCAUGGCAAUAUAUCUCGGAAUGGCUAUGGAAAUGCCAUAAUAGGUAGGUAUGGUGGCUGUUUUGAGGAAGAUAUAAGGAGGUUUAUGUGUGAUAGAGCGUAUCAUAUCACGGGGUUUGGAUGCACCGGCGAAGUUUGCACCAACUCUCAAUGUGAGAAAGGGCAAUGCACGGUACCGAAGAGGCUAGCAAUGAUGGAAGGGUAAGAGUGCGUAUAAUCAAUUGACUCAACAUUAGUCAUAAAGAACUCACAUACUUAUUGCAAAAAUCUACAAGUCAUCAACUACGCGCAUGCUCCUAGGGGGAUAGAUUGGUAGGAAAAGACCAUCGCUCGUCCCCGACCGCCACUCAUAAGGAAGACAAUCAAAGAACACCUCAUGUUUCAAAUUUGUUACAUAACGUUUACCAUACGUGCAUGCUACGGGACUUGCAAACUUCAACACAAGUAUUUCUCAAUUUCACAACUACUCAACUAGCACAACUUUAAUAUCACUACCUCCAUAUCUCAAAACAAUCAUCAAGCAUCAAACUUCUCUUAAUAUUCAACGCACUUAUAAGAAAGUUUUUUACUAGUCUUGAAUACCUAACAUGUUAGGAUUAAUUUCCCAACUUAAGCAAAUUACCAUGCUGUUUAAGACUCUCAAAAUAAUAUAAGUGAAGCAUGAGAGAAUAAUAGUUUCUAUAAAACAAAAGCACCGCCGUGCUCUAAAAGAUAUAAGUGAAGCACUAGAGCAAAAACUAUAUAGCUCAAAAGAUAUAAGCGAAGCGCAUAGAGUAUUCUAAUAAAUUCCAAAUCAUAUGUGUCUCUCUCAAAAGGUGUGUACAGAAAAUAUGAUUGUGGCAAACUUAACAAAUAAAGACUCAAAUAAUACAAGACGCUCCAAGCAAAACACAUAUCAUGUGGUGAAUAAAAAUAUAGCUCCAAGUAAAGUUACCGAUGGAAGUAGACGAAAGAGGGGAUGCCUUCCGGGGCAUCCCCAAGCUUUGGCUUUUGGUGUCCUUAGAUUAUCUUGGGGUGCCAUGGGCAUCCCCAAGCUUAGGCUCUUGCCACUCCUUGUUCCAUAAUCCAUCAAAUCUUUUACCCAAAACUUGAAAACUUCACAACACAAAACUUAACAGAAAAUCUCGUGAGCUCCGUUAGCGAAAGAAAACAAAACACCACUUCAAGGUACUGUAAUUAACUCAUUAUUUAUUUAUAUGGGUGUUAAACCUACUGUAUUCCAACUUCUCUAUGGUUUAUAAACUAUUUUACUAGCCAUAGAUUCAUCAAAAUAAGCAAACAACACAUGAAAAACAGAAUCUGUCAAAAACAGAACAAUCUGUAGUAAUCUGUAACUAACACAAACUUCUGGAACUUGAAAAAUUCAGCCAAAAUAGGGAGAACUAAAAAAUUUGUUUAUUGAUCUUCUGCAAUUGGAAUCAAUAUCAUGUCACGUUCUGAUAAUUUUUAACAAUUGUUUUCGUGAACAGAAAGUUUCUGGAAUUUUCAGCAAGAUCAAAUAACUAUCAUCCAAGAAGAUCCUAUAGGUUUAACUUGGCACAAACACUAAUUAAAACAUAGAAACAAAUCUAACCAGAGGCCAGAUCAAAUAUUUAUUCCUAAACAGAAGCAAAAAGCAAAAAAACUAAAAAUAAAAUUGGGUUGCCUCCCAACAAGCGCUAUCGUUUAACGCCCCUAGCUAGGCAUAAAAGCAAGGAUAGAUCUAGGUAUUGCCAUAAUAAUAGGAUAGAUCACGAAAACUCAUUUCGUAUUCUCUACGUUCAGCAGCAAGUUUUCUUUGAGGCAAACAAAAGUAAUCAAAAGGGCUAAAUUUAAUGGGACAGAAGUCCCCAAGAUCAACCUUUGGAGGUAUAGGUUCCUCCUUCGGCCCUUCAUAUUGCACAACCAAUUCAUCAUUAUAAGCGUUCUUUUAACAAAAUUUCGUGAGCCUAUACUCGAGAGAGUAUCCUAGCUCAUUAUUUCGAAUAGCAAAAUCAUUAUUAAGUUCAGAAAUUCUAUUAACUAGAACAUUGGUAGGAACCUUUUUUCUAAGGUUUUCGUUAAAAGCAACAUAGUCUAGAGAUUGAAAACGCAUUAUUUCCUCUUGAUCAAAUAAGACAGUCUCUAUGGGAGGACGGCCAGCGUCCACCCUAUAGUGCGCAAAGAUUUCUUUGGCCUCUUUUAUAAUAAAUCUGAAUUCAUGAGCCAAAAAGAUAGUAGCGGCACGCUUAACAGAAGAAUGCUCAAUAUUAGAAAAUUCUAGGAAAAUCCUUUGUAUGCAAGGGUGCAUGUGCAUAAAUUGCCUUUCAAGUUCAACUACAAGCAUGGCAAUAGCGUCUGCGAGACUACUAGUUCUAUGAAGAAUAGAACUACCCAUAGAAGGCAAAGCACGGCACAAGUAAACAAAUCUUGAAUAACCCCUUUUCCAAUAAUAUUACCACUACCAAUUCAGAAUUUUUUUGUAUGUAAGAUAGGGGGUUCUUCAGCAGGAGCAUCAGAAUUUUCCAUGUUAUUGUUAUUGUCCAUAUCGACAAUAAUUUCCCCAAUUUUAGACAUAACGGCAGAAAGUGCGAGGAGCAAAAAGAAAGAGGGAGGCGAACGGAAAAUAGAGGGCGAAUAAAACGGCAAUGAUGAAGUGGGGGAGAGGAAAACGAGAGGCAAAUGGCAAAUAAUGUAAUGCGGGAGAUAAGAGUUUGUGAUGGGUACUUGGUAUGUUGACUUUUGCGUAGACUCCCCGGCAACGGCGCCAGAAAUCCUUCUUGCUACCUCUUGAGCACUGCGUUGGUUUUCCCUUGAAGAGGAAAGGGUGAUGCAGUAAAGCAGCGUAAGUAUUUCCCUCAAUUUUUGAGAACCAAGGUAUCAAUCCAGUAGGAGGCCACGCACGAGUCCCUCGCACCUACACAAACAAAUAAAAACCUCGUAACCAACGCAAUAAAGGGGUUGUCAAUCCCUUCACGGUCACUUACGAAAGUGAGAUCUGAUAGAUAUGAUAAGAUAAUAUUUUUGGUAUUUUUAUAAUAAAGAUGCAAAGUAAAAUAAAAGGCAAUAAAAAUAGCUAAGUGUUGGAAGAUUAAUAUGAUGGAAAAUAGACCCCGGGGCCAUAGGUUUCACUAGUGGCUUCUCUCGAGAGCAUAAGUAUUACGGUGGGUGAACAAAUUACUGUUGAGCAAUUGAUAGAAUUGAGCAUAGUUAUGAGAAUAUCUAGGUAUGAUCAUGUAUAUAGGCAUCACGUCCGUGACAAGUAGAACGACUCCUGCCUGCAUCUACUACUAUUACUCCACACAUCGACCGCUAUCCAGCAUGCAUCUAGAGUAUUAAGUUCAUAAGAACAGAGUAACGCUUUAAGCAAGAUGACAUGCUGUAGAGGGAUAAACUCAUGCAAUAUGAAAUAAACCCCAUCUUGUUAUCCUCGAUGGCAACAAUACAAUAUGUGCCUUGCUGCCCCUGCUGUCACUGGGAAAGGACACCGCAAGAUUGAACCCAAAGCUAAGCACUUCUCCCAUUGCAAGAAAGAUCAAUCUAGUAGGCCAAACCAAACUGAUAAUUCGAAGAGACUUGCAAAGAUAACCAAUCAUACAUAAAAUAAUUCAGAGAAGAUUCAAAUAUUGUUCAUAGAUAAACUUGAUCAUAAACCCACAAUUCAUCGGUCUCAACAAACACACCGCAAAAGAAGAUUACAUCGCAUAGAUCUCCAUGAGAAUCGUGGAGAACUUUGUAUUGAGAUCCAAAGAGAGAGAAGAAGCCAUCUAGCUAAUAACUAUGGACCCGAAGGUCUGAGGUAAACUACUCACACAUCAUCGGAGAUGCUAUGGUGUUGAUGUAGAAGCCCUCCGUGAUCAAUGCCCCCUCCGGCAGGAUGCCGGAAAAGGCCCCAAGAUGGGAUCUCAUGGGUACAGAAGGUUGCGGCGGUGGAAUUAGGUUCUUGUGGAUGCUUCUGUUGGUUUGGGGGUACGUAGGUAUAUAUAGGAGAAAGAAGUACGUCGGUGGAGCAACAUGGGCCCCACGAGGGUGGAGGGCGCGCCCAGGGGGGUAGGCGCGCCCCCUACCUCGUGCCCUCCUGGUUGCUUUCUUGACGUAGGGUCCAAGUCCUCUGGAUCACGUUUGUUCCGAAAAUCACGUUCCCGAAGGUUUCAUUCCGUUUGGACUCCGUUUGAUAUUCCUUUUCCGCGAAACACUAAAAUAGGCAAAAAAACAGCAAUUUGGGCUGGGCCUCCGGUUAAUAGGUUAGUCCCAAAAAUAAUAUAAAAGUGUAUAACAAAGCCCAUUAAUCAUCCAAAACAGAAUAUAAUAUAGCAUGAAGUAAUAAAAAAUUAUAGAUACGUUGGAGACGUAUCACUUAACUUGUUCCUAUUAUGCUCACUUUCUACUCCUUGCAUCCUAGCUUAUAUGUCUCUUAUUUUAGAUGCAAGUGUUGUCUGGAUAUAAAAUAUAGGAGGAGUGUUGAUCCUAAUGUGUGUACUUGCAUUCCAAAGGCACUCCUAACUAAGUGCAGACAUCUAAGGGGAGCCUGCCUAUAUUUUGUAGUCUCUGGGGUUUGCUUAUUUUCUUGUUUUAUCUCUAUGCAAAUCCCGCGUUGUCAUCAAUCCACCAGAAAGGGGGAGAUUGUUAGGGCAUGUCUCUCUCUCUAAGUGGUUUUGGUGAUUGAUGACAAUGCGUUUGCGGACUAAUCAUGUGCACUGCUUUCAAAUACUUAUUCAUUGGCAUGAGACGAUUCAUUUCCCCUCAGUGUUUAAGGAGAAGACGGUGUGUUUAAUUCGUUUCAGUUUUGGUGGACUUGAGUCGUAGGAAACACCGUACUAUCAAGAGGGGGUCCGUAUUGGAAAGGUUAGGGUGGAAUCAACACGUACACGUCCCCUUUGCACCCCAACUCUUUCCUGCAUCUUUGGAGGAUCCUUUGUUGUCUUGGAAGUGGGCUUGAUAGGGAUCCAGCGGAAGUACCGCGGCGCCGAGCGGUAGUACCGCCCAGAGCCACAGGCGGCAAUACCGCUGUUCGUCAGCAGUAGUACCGCCUGGGGGUCUCGCUUGUAGUACCGCUUCGGUGCCAUGCUAUUACCGCCUCGAUUCAAGAGCGUUGCUUCUCGUGUCGGGUUGUGAGGCAGUUGCGGCGGUAGUACCGCUCACGAGCGGUAGUAUCGCCCGACUACCGCUGCUAGUGCCACCCGGGCUCUCGCUCUCGUGCCCCUUCCCCCUUGAGGCCUCUGCCCUCUAUCUCUGCGGUAGUACCGCUGGGACUCGCGGUAGUACUGCUGUCGCCAGCGGUNNNNNNNNNNNNNNNNNNNNNNNNNNNNNNNNNNNNNNNNNNNNNNNNNNNNNNNNNNNNNNNNNNNNNNNNNNNNNNNNNNNNNNNNNNNNNNNNNNNNNNNNNNNNNNNNNNNNNNNNNNNNNNNNNNNNNNNNNNNNNNNNNNNNNNNNNNNNNNNNNNNNNNNNAGAAGACCUACCUUUUUCCCCCAAGCUCCAUUGUUGCUCCAAAGAUCAUUUUCACCCAAUCUCUCUCCCUAGCCAAUCAAACUUGUUGAUUUUCUAGGGUUUGGUUGAGAAGGCCCGGAUCUACAGUUCCACCAAGAGAAAUUUGAUUCCCCCCACUAAUCCCUUGCGGAUCUUGUUACUCUUGGGUGUUUGAGCACCCUAGACGGUUGAGGUGACCUCGGAGCCACAUAUCAUUGUGGUGAAGCUCCAUGGUAUCAUUGGGAGCCUCCAAUCAAGUUGUGGUGAUAGCCCCAACCUUAUUUGUAAAGGUUCGGUCGUCGCCUUCAAGGGCACCACUAGUGGAAUCACGGCAUCUCGCAUUGUGUGAGGGCGUGAGGAGAAUACGGUGGCCCUAGUGGCUUCUUGGGGAGCAUUGUGCCUCCACACCGCUUCAACGGAGACGUACUUCCCCCAAAGGGAAGGAACUUCGGUAACACAUCCUCGUCUCCACCGGCUCCACUUGUGGUUAUCUCUUCCCUUUACUUUGUGCAAGUUAUUAUUGUGUUGUAUCCUUAGCUUGCACUUGUUAUUGUUGUUGUUAGCAUCAUAUAGGUUGCUCACCUAGUUACACAUCUAGACAACCUAUUUGUUGCUAAACCUAAUUUGUUAAGAAUAGCUAAAAAUUGGUAGUUGCCUAUUCACCCCCCCUCUAGUCAACCAUAUCGAUCCUUCCACUCGCGAUAUAGCUCCCCUAUUUUGAUAUGUUCCUAGAGAAAACUAAGUUGAAAGAUGAUGGUAGCAAUAACGCGGACUCGGUCCGUGAUCUAAGGAUUAUCCUCAUUGUUGCACAGAAGAAUUAUGUCCUUAAUGCACCGCUAGGUGACAGACCUAUUGCAGGAAUAGAUAUAGACGUUAUGAACGUUUGGCAAGCUCGAUAUGAUGACUACUUAAUAGUUUAGUGCGCCAUGCUUUAUGACAUAGAAACGGGACUUCAAAAAUGUUUUGAACGCCACGGAGCACAUGAGAUGUUCCAAGAGCUGAAAUUGGUAUUUCAGACUCAUGCCCAUGUCAAGAGGUAUGAGACCUCUGACAAGUACUUUGCCUACAAGAUGGAGGAGAGUAGCUCAGCCAGCGAUCAUGUGCUCAGAAUGUCUGGGUACUACAAUCGCUUGAAUCAAGUGGGAGUUAAUCUUCCGGAUAAGAUAGUGAUUGCCAGAGUUCUCUAGUCACUAUCACCAAGCUACUAGAACUUCAUGAUGAAUAUAAUAUGCAAGGGAUGACGAUAACGAUUCCUGAGCUCUUCAUGAUACUGAAAUCGACGAAGGAAGAAAUCAAGAAAGAGCAUCAGGUGUUGAUGGUUAACAAGACCACUAGUUUCAAGAAAAAGGGCAAGGGAAAGAAAGGAACUUCAAGAAGAAUGGCAAGCAAGUUGCCACUCCCGGGAAGAAGCCCAAAGCUGGACCCAAGCCUGAAACUGAGUGCUUCUACUUCAAAGGGACUGGUUACUGGAAGCGGAACUGCCCCAAAUACUUGGCGGAUAAGAAGGAUGGCAAAGUGAACAAAGGUAUAUUUGAAAUACAUGUAAUUGAUGUGUUCCUUAGUAAUGCUCGUAGUAGCGCCUGGUUAUUCGAUACUGGUUCAGUUGCUCAUAUUUGUAACUCGAAACAGGAGCUGCGGAAUAAAUGAAGAUUGGCUAAGGACGAGGUGACGAUGCGCGUCGGAAAUGGUUCCAAGGUCGACGUGAUCGCCAUCGGCACGCUACCUCUACAUCUACCUUCGGGAUUAGUUUUAGACCUCAAUAAUUGUUAUUUGGUGCCUGUGUUGAGCAUGAACAUUAUAUCUGGAUCUUGUUUAUUGCGGGACGGUUAUUCAUUUAAGUCAGAGAAUAAUGGUUAUUCUAUUUAUAUGAAUAAUAUCUUUUAUGGUUAUGCACCCUUGAAGAGUGGUCUAUUCUUGUUGAAUCUCGAUAGUAGUGAUAAACAUAUUCAUAAUAUUGAUGCCAAAAGAUGCAAAGUUGAUAAUGAUAGUGCAACAUACUCGUGGCACUGCCGUUUAGGUCAUAUUGGUGUAAAGUGCAUGAAGAAACUCCAUGCAGAUGGACUUUUGAAAUCACUUGAUUAUGAAUCAUUUGAUACUUGCGAACCAUGCCUCAUGGGCAAGAUGACUAAAACUCUGUUCUUUGGAACAAUGGAGCGAGCUAAUGACUUAUUGGAAAUAAUACAUACCGAUUAUGCGGUCCGACGAGUGUUGAGGCACGAGGCGGGUAUCGUUAUUUUCUGACCUUCACAGAUGAUUUGAGUAGGUAUGGAUAUAUCUACUUAAUGAAACACAAGUCUGAAACAUUUGAAAAGUUCUAAGAAUUCCAGAGUGAAGUGGAGAAUCAUCGUAACAAGAAAAUAAAGUUUCUACGAUGUGAUCAUGGAGGCAAAUAUUUGAGUUACGAGCUUGGCUUUCAUUUAAAACAAUGUGGAAUUGUUUCACAACUCACGCCACCUUGAACACCACAGCGUAAUGGUGUGUCUAAACGUCGUAACCAUGCUUUAUUAGAUAUGGUGCGUUCUAUGAUGUCUCUUACCGAUUUACCACUAUCGGUUUGGGGUUAUGCAUUAGAGACAUCCGCAUUCACGUUAAAUAGGGCACCAUCUAAACCCGUUGAGAUGACACCGUAUGAACUUUGGUUUGGCAAGAAACCUAAGCUGUCGUUUCUUAAAGUUUGGGGUUGUGACACUUAUGUCAAAAGGCUUCAGCCUGAUAAGCUCGAACCCAAAUCAGAUAAGUGCGUCUUCAUAGGAUACCCGAAGGAAACAAUUGGGUAGACCUUCUACCACAGACCCGAAGGCAAGAUCUUUGUUGCUAAAAAUGGAUCCUUUCUAGAGGAGUUUCUCUUCAAAGAAGUGAGUGGGAGGAAAGUAGAACUUGAUGAGGUAAUUGUACCUUCUCUUGAAUUGGAAAGUAGUACAUCAGAGAAAUCUGUUCCCGUGAUGCCUACACCAACUAGAGUGGAAGCUAAUGAUGAUCAUGAAACUUCAGAUCAAGUUACUACUGAACUUCGUAGGUCGACCAGAACACGAUCUGCACCAGACUGGUACGGCAAUCCUGUCCUGGAAGUUAUGUUAUUAGACCAUGGCGAACCUACAAACUAUGCAGAAGCUAUGAUGAGUCCAAAUUCCGAUAAAUGGCUUGAGGCCAUGAAAUCUGAGAUAGGAUCCAUGUAUGAGAAAAAAGUAUGGACUUUGGUGGAUUUGCCCGAUGAUCGGCAAGCCAUAGAAAAUAAAGGGAUCUUUAAUAAGAAGACUGACGCUGAUGGUAAUGUUACUGUCUACAAAGCUCGACUUGUCGCGAAAGAUUUUUGACAAGUUCAAGGAGUUGACUACGAUGAGACUUUCUCACCCGUAACGAUGCUUAAUGAUACGUCUCCAUCGUAUCUAUAAUUUUUGAUUGUUCCAUGCCAAUAUUAUACAACUUUCAUAUACUUUUGGCAACUUUUUAUACUAUUUUUGGGACUAACAUAUUGAUCCAGUGCCCAGUGCCAGUUCCUCUUUGUUGCAUAUUUUUGUUUCGCAGAAACCCCAGAUCAAACGGAAUCCAAACGUAAUAAAAACGGACGGGGAAUAUUUUUGGAAUAUUUGGAAAAUAUGGGAAGAAGAAUCAACGCGAGACGGUGCCCGAGGUGGCCACGAGACAGGGGGCGCCCCUGACCCUCGUGGGCCCCUCGUAAGGCGGUUGCUGCUAUUCUUUGGCCGCAAGAAAGCUACUUUUCGGAGAAAAAUCUGGGUGAAGGUUUCAAUCCAAUCGGAGUUACGGAUCUCCGGAUAUAUAAGAAACGGUGAAAGGGCAGAAUCCCAGAACGCAGAAACAGAGAGAGACAGAGAGACAGAUCCAAUCUCGGAGGGGCUCUCGCCCCUCCCACGCCAUGGAGACCAAGGACCAGAGGGGAAACACUUCUCCCACCUAGGGAGAAGGUCAAGGAAGAAGAAGAAGAAGGGGGGCUCUCUCCCCCUCGCUUCCGGUGGCGCCGGAGUGCCACCGGGGGCCAUCAUCAUCAUCGCAAUCUACACCAACACCUCCAUCAUCUUCACCAACAUCUCCAUCACCUUCCCCCAUCUAUCUACAGCGGUCCACUCUCCCGCAACCCGUUGUACCCUCUACUUGAACAUGGUGCUUUAUGCUUCAUAUUAUUAUCCAAUGAUGUGUUGCCAUCCUAUGAUGUCUGAGUAGAUUUUCGUUGUCCUAUCGGUGGUUGAUGAAUUGCUAUGAUUGAUUUAAUUUGCUUGUGGUUAUGUUGCUGUCCUUUGGUGCCCAUCAUAUGAGUGCGCGCGUGGAUCACACCAUAGGGUUAGUUGUAUGUUGAUAGGACUAUGUAUUGGAGGGCAAGAGUGACAGAAGCUUCAACCUAGCAUAGAAAUUGAUGCAUACGGGAUUGAAGGGGGACCAAUAUAUCUUAAUGCUAUGGUUGGGUUUUACCUUAAUGAAUGUUAGUAGUUGCGGACGCUUGCUAAUAGUUCCAAUUAUAAGUGCAUAGAAUUCCAAGUCAGGGAUGACAUGCUAGCAGUGGCCUCUCCCACAUAAAACUUGCUAUCGGUCUAGUAAAGUAGUCAAUUGCUUAGGGACAAUUUCACAACUCCUACCACCACUUUUCCACACUUGCUAUAUUUACUUUAUUGUGUUUUUAUCUAAGCAGUCCCUAGCUUUUAUUUACGUGCUCUUUAUAUUCUUGCAAACCUAUCCAACAACACCUCCAAAGUACUUCUAGUUUCAUACUUGUUCUAGGUAAAGCAAACGUAAAGCGUGCGUAGAGUUGUAUCGAUGGUCGAUAGAACUUGAGGGAAUAUUUGUUCUACCUUUAGCUCCUCGUUGGGUUCGACACUCUUACUUAUCGAAAGAGGCUACAAUUGAUCCCCUAUACUUGUGGGUUAUCAAGACCUUUUUCUGGCGCCGUUGCCGGGGAGCAAUAGCGUGGGGUGAAUAUUCUCGUGUGUGCUUGUUUGCUUUAUCACUAAGUACUCCCUCCGUUUUUCUUUUGUUUGCGUAUAAGAGGAAUCCGGGAUACCAAGGACAGCUGUUGGAGUAAAAUUCUGGACUAUUUUGCCCCUGACUUAGCAUGCGCUGCAUGGAGGAGAAUAAAUGCCGCAUGCAGUCGAGUCCCGCGCCUUCUAAUGCGCUAUGGCUGCUGAUUGGCUGCCGUUUCGUUUCUCCUCGUUCUCCCCCCCUCCCCCCCGCAUGCACAGCUCUUGAAUCAUGAAGCAUCGCUUCCCUGCACUACGUAGAGCGCCAUUUUUCUGGUUCAACGACGCAAAUUUUAGCUGUGCGCUAAUUUCCAUUCCCUCCAAAACUGUCUUGGCGCCAUGGAAUUUCAGCUAUAGCGCCAUGGACCUUUGAAACCGAGAGUAGCAUGCUUAUAAAUNNNNNNNNNNNNNNNNNNNNNNNNNNNNNNNNNNNNNNNNNNNNNNNNNNNNNNNNNNNNNCUGCUGAUUGGCUGCCGUUUCGUUUCUCCUCGUUCUCCCCCCCGCAUGCACAGCUCUUGAAUCAUGAAGCAUCGCUUCCCUGCACUACGUAGAGCGCCAUUUUUCUGGUUCAACGACGCAAAUUUUAGCUGUGCGCCAAUUUCCAUUCCCUCCAAAACUGUCUUGGCGCCAUGGAAUUUCAGCUAUAGCGCCAUGGACCUUUGAAACCGAGAGUAGCAUGCUUAUAAAUUCGUCCACGCCAUGGAAGAACUCUGCACUUUUCUCCUCUGUUUCUCACCUCUCCCGUUCCCUUCUCUGAGUAUCCGAUGGCUAAUCUGGACCUCAACGUGCCCAUAAACUUGGAUGAGGUCGACGAGCAGUACAAUGGCGAUGCGGCUGACCUGCAGUAUGUGUACGUCUUCGAAGAGGGCGACGACGGUAAGCUUCGUUCUGUACUACUCCGUCCGCCCUUUUGAUCGCAAUGACCGGUGUCCCAUUGUUUCGUAGAGCACGAUGGUGUGCAUGACGGCGGUGCCCCUGGUGGAAACAAGAGUGGUGGCAGUGGCAGCGCCCGCCAGCAACUCAUCAAAGGAUAGAUCACGAACCUUUUUACCGUCGUCGUCGCUGCCGUACUUCGCCCGCUUGUUGCCGCUGUCGCCGCCGUACUUCGCUCGCUUGUUGCCGCUGUCGCCGCCGUCGGUGAGUGCAUGCAUCAUGUCGGCGAGCGCAUGCAACGUCCCGGCGAGCGACUGCACAGUAUCGGCCAGCGAGUGGACAAUACCUGCGAGAGCUUGGACGCCCCCGUGCGCCACACGGUCGCCAUUGUGGGCCUGCACGUUCUGGCCAUCCUCCGGGAUGGCAUGGUCGACGUCGUGGCCGUCCUCCGCGAGCGCCUGCAGGUGGCCAUCGCCUGCCUCGGCGUGGCCCUCCUCUGGGCGCGCAUGGCCGACGCCACGGUGUUCCUCCGUAAGGGCUUGGACGGCGCCGUCGCCUUCCUCCUCUUGGCCGGCGCUGUCGACCACGAGCGCAUGGCCAUGUCCGUCGCCGUCCGCACCUAUCGUUUCUAUGCUGUAGAUUACUUCAUCUUCUUCGAUUGGUUGGCUCUCUCCCCACAAGCAUGGGUUGAAUCCAUCGUUUGCCAUGGGAACGAGCAGAUUGGGAGAGUGGAGGGGGCGAUUUGUGGAGGGGAGCAUAGGGAGACGAGAAGGCGAAGCGGAAGAGAGGGCUGCGCCUAGUUAAUGCAGCGGCUGCGUGGGAAGACGAAUGAGAGGGGCAGUAUUGGAAAGAUCGGGAGAAAAAAGCCUAGGCGCAGACUAAAAGCGAAAAAGGGCAAAAAGUUAUACGCAAACAAAAGAAAAACGGAGGGAGUAUUUUUUAUUUGCUGUUCUUAGUUGUUUUCUAUCUUUAGUUAUGGGUAGGAAACGCAAAAUACCAAAAAAAUUAGUUGUACCUACUGAACCAAUGGUUGAAGAACCACUCAAAAUCUAUCACACUCCUGAAGCUUUUUACUUGGAUCAUCUUCGAUCCCUUUGUGCUCGUGCUGAAACUCCAACUAGCUUAGUUGAGGGAAAAUCUUUAGAUGAGCAUGCUUGUUAUGUGCGACACCGCAUAUCUAAAAAAGGGAAACUUUUACUGGAUCAAAUUCAUCAUUUGCAAUGCUAUGCGUGGAAUUUAUGUGAAAUAUAUGAUGUUACUUGUUGUUCUGAAAACCCUAAGAAACACCUUCCCUACCAAUGUGAGUUUAUCGACAAUGGAAUCGUGUCUUCAUAUGCUAAGGGUGUUUAUAAUUACUAUGAUGUUCAACAAAUUGAAGAAUUUGUUGCUUUUAAGGGUGCUUAUGAAAUUGCUUCUUUGAUUGAAAAGUAUGAUGCUACUCUUUACAAAUCUGAAAAUUUUGCCAUACUUAAAUAUUGUUAUGAUAAUUAUGCUUCUAAUGCCUAUGUUAAACCAUAUAUCGAGGACUCCUCCGCUGUCCAAGAAGAGACUAAUAUUUUGCAGGAGUCUAUGGAAGAAGAAAUUGAUGAAACUGUGAGCUCAUUGGAUGAAAAAGAUGAGGAGGAGAGCGAAGAACAAAAGGAGGAAGAGCGGAUUGAUCACCCGUGCCCACCUUCUAAUGAGAGUAACUCUUCAACUCAUACAUUGUUUAAAUUCCCUUCGUGCUUACCGAAGGAUGAUUGCUAUGAUGACUGUUAUGAUCCCGUUGAUUCUCUUGAAAUAUCCCUUUUUGAUGAUGGUUGCUAUGCUUGUGGCCAAGAUGCCAAUAUGAAUUAUGCUUAUGGAGAUGAACUUGCUAUAGUUCCUUAUGUUAAACAUGAAAUUGUUGCUAUUGCACCCACACAUGAUAGUCCUAUUAUCUUUUUGAAUUCUCCCGGCUACACUAUAUCGGAGAAGUUUGCCUUUAUUAAGAAUUAUAUUGAUGGGUUGCCUUUUAUCGUUGCACAUGAUGAUUUUGAUAGAUAUAAUAUGCAUGUGCUUGCUGCUCCUACUUGCAAUUAUUAUGAGAGAGGAACUAUAUCUCCACCUCUCUAUGUUUCCAAUAUGAUAAAAUUGCAAGAAACUGUUUAUACUAUGCAUUGGCCUUUACUAUGUGUGCAUGAAUUGUUCUUUUAUGACAUGCCGAUGCAUAGGAAGAGAGUUAGACUUCGUCAUUGGUUGAUAUAUGUUGCCUUGUGCUCACUACUAAAUGCCAAAUCAUUGCUAAUUAAAAUUGGCUUUGAUAUACCUUGGGAUCCGGGUGGAUCCAUUACUUGAGCACUAUAUGCCUAGCUUAAUGGCUUUAAAGAAAGCGCUGCCAGGGAGACAACCCGAAAGUUUUAGAGAGUCAUUUAUUUCUGUUGAGUGCUUUUAUAUAGUUUAAAAACAAAAAAAUAAAGAGGGGAACCUAAAACCUUUUCAAAAAGGAAAGUGAAAGUGAGAAAGACGAGCAUUGUUAAAGUGGGAGCUAGCCUUGAACUUUGUUCAUGCUCACGGAAACUUUGUGAAUCUUGAUUACAGAAAAUUUUCAACAAAAAUAAUUAUCCCCUUGUACAAUUCCAUUGUAUUAUUAAAAUAAUGUGCCAAGGUUUGCCUUUAGGAUGUUUACAAUGCUUGUUGGUUUGUGCGGUGCAGGACAGAAACUUUGGCUGUAGUGCGCGAUUUUACAUUUUUUACGGGAACGUCAAAUAGUUCUGAAACUUUUUGAAAUGUAUUUAUAUACAAAUUUUUUACUUUUCCUAAUUUUGGCAGAAUUUUUGAAGUAUCAUAAGUAUGGUGAAUGUUCAGAUUAUUACAGACUGUUCUGUUUUAGACAGAAUCUGUUUUUGAUGCAUAGUUUGCUUGUUUUGAUGAAACUAUCGAUUUAUAUCAGUGGAUUAAGCCAUGAAAAAGUUAUAUUACAGUAGCUACAAUGCCAAAACAAAAUAUGAAUUGGUUUUCAAUGGUACUUAGAGUAGUGAUUUGCUUUAUUAUACUAACGGAUCUUACCGAGCUUUCUGUUGAAGUUUUGUGUGGAUGAAGUGUUCGAAGAUCGAGGAGGUCUCGAUGUGAGAAGAAGGAAGAGAGGCAAGAGCUCAAGCUUGGGGAUGCCCAAGGCACCCCAAGUAAAUAUUCAAGGAGACUCAAGCGUCUAAGCUUGGGGAUGCCCCGGAAGACAUCCCAUCUUUCUUCAACAAGUAUCAGUAUGUUUUCGGAUUCGUUUCGUUCAUGCGAUAUGUGCGAAUCUUGGAGCGUCUUUUGCAUUUAGUUUUCAUUUUUCUUUUAUGCACCAUGCUGGUAUGAGAUAGUCCUUGGUUGAUUUACAGAAUGCUCAUUGCACUUCACUUAAAUCUUUUGAGUAUGGCUUUAUAGAAUGCUUCAUGUGCUUCGCUUAUAUCAUUUGAAGUUUGGAUUGCCUGUUUCUCUUCACUUAGAAAACCGCCAUUUGUAGAAUGCUCUUUUGCUUCACUUAUAUUUGUUAGAGCGUGGGCAUAUCUUUUGUAGAAAGAAUUAAACUCUCUUGCUUCACUUAUAUCUAUUUAGAGAGAUGACAGGAACUGGUCAUUCACAUGGUUAGUCAUAAAAUCCUACAUAAAACUUGUAGAUCACUGAAUAUGAUAUGUUUGAUUCCUUGCAAUAGUUUUGCGAUAUAAAGGUGGUGAUAUUAGAGUCGUGCUAGUUGAGUAAUUGUGAAAUUGAGAAAUACUUGUGUUGAGGUUUGCAAGUCCCGUAGCAUGCACGUAUGGUGAACCGUUAUGUAACCAAAAGGUUUUGUCGAUUAUAAAGGUGCUAGCAAAGUGUGCAAGCUCCAGCGAUCCAUCUAUGGACUGGUGCAAGCAUCUCAGAGUUGAAAUAUACGCUUUGAUGAGGUGAUCAAAUCAUAUGAUUUUAUACAGACUUACAGUGAAGCCUGUAUUUACAAGAAAGUGAGUGGGAGCUCUGUAGCAUUUUUAAUAUUAUAUGUGGAUGACAUAUUGUUGAUUGAAAAUGAUAUAGAAUUUCUGGAUAGCAUAAAAGGAUAUUUGAAUAAGAAUUUUUUAAUGAAAGACCUCGGUAAAGCUACUUACACAUUGGCCAUCAAGAUCUAUAGAGAUAGAUCGAGACGCUUAAUAGGACUUUCACAAAGCAUAUACCUUGGCAAAAUUUUGAAGAAGUUCAAAAUGGAUCAGUCUAAGAAAGAGUUCUUGCCUGUGUUGCAAGGUGUGAAGUUGAGUAAGACUCAAAGCCUGACCACAACAGAAGAUAGAGAGAGAAUGAAAGUCAUUCCCUAUGCCUCAGCCAUAGGUUCUAUAAAGUAUGCCAUGUUGUGUACCAGACCUAUUGUGUGCCUUGCCAUGAGUUUGGCAAGGGGGUACGAUAGUGAUCCAGGAGUGGAUCACUGGACAUCGGUCAAAAUUAUCCUUAGUUACCUAAGAGGACUAAGGAAAUGUUUCUCGGUUAUGGAGGUGAUAAAGAGUUCGUCGUAAAGAGUUACGUCGACGCAAGCUUUGACACCGAUUCGGAUGACUCUGAGUCUCAAUCUGGAUACAUAUUGAAAGUGGGAGCAAUUAGCAUGAGUAGCUACAUGCAAAGCAUUGUAGACAUAGAAAUUUGCAAAAUACAUACAGCUCUGAAUGUGGCAGACCCGUUGACUAAACUUCUCUCACAAGAAAAACAUGAUCACACCUUAGUAAUCUUUGAGUGUUAAUCACAUGGCGAUGUGAACUAGAUUAUUGACUCUAGUAAACUCUUUGGGGUUAGUCACAUGGCGAUGUGAACUAUGGGUAUUAAUCACAUGGCGAUGUGAACUAGAUUAUUGACUCUAGUGCAAGUGGGAGACUAAAGGAAAUAUGCCCUAGAGGGACUAAUAAAGUUUUUAUUUUAUAUUUCCUUAUUAAUGAUAAAAGUUUAUUAUUCAUGCUAGAAUUCUAUUGAUCGGAAACUUAAAUACAUGUGUGAAUACAUAAACAAAUACCGUGUCCCUAGUAAGCCUCUACUAGACUAGCUUGUUGAUCAAAGAUGGUUAAGGUUUCCAAACCAUGGACAUGUGUUGUCAUUUGAUAACAGGAUCACAUCAUUAGGAGAAUGAUGUGAUGGACAAGAUCCAUCCGUUAGCUUAGCAUAAUGAUCGUUCAGUUUAUUGCUAUUGCUUUCUUCAUGUCAAAUACAUAUUCCUUCGACUAUGAGAUUAUGCAACUCCCGGAUACCGGAGGAAUACCUUGUGUGCGAUCAAACAUCACAAUGUAACUGGGUGAUCAUAAAGAUGCUCUACAGGUAUCUCCGAAGGUGUUUGUUGAGUUGGCAUAGAUCAAGAUUAGGAUUUGUCACUCCGAGUACCGGAGAGGUAUCUCUGGGUCCUCUCGAUAAUACACAUCAUAAGAAGCCUUGCAAGCAAAUGACUAAUGAGUUAGUUACGAGAUGAUAUAUUACGGAACAAGUAAAGAGACUUGCCGGUAACGAGAUUGAACUAGGUAUAGAGAUACCGACGAUCGAAUCUCGGGCAAGUAACGUACCGAUGGACAGAGCGAAUUGCGUAUGUUGUCAUAACGGUUCAACCAAUAAAGGUCUUCGUAAAAUAUGUAGGAGCCAAUAUGGGCAUCCAAGUUCCGUUAUUGGUUAUCGACCGGAGAGGUGGCUCGGUCAUGUCUACAUAGUUCUCGAACCCGUAGGGUCCGCACACUUAACGUUUGUUGGCGAUAUAGUGUUAUAUGAGUUAUAUGUUUUGGUGACCGAAUGGUGUUCGAAGUCCCGAAUGAGAUCACGGACAUGACGAGGAGUCUCGAAAUGGUCAAGAGGUAAAGAUUGAUAUAUAGAAUGAUGGUAUUUGGACACCGGAAGUGUUUCGGGACGUACCAGAAAGAAAUCGGGUCACCGAAAGGGGUUCCGGGCANNNNNNNNNNNNNNNNNNNNNNNNNNNNNNNNNNNNNNNNNNNNNNNNNNNNNNNNNNNNNNNNNNNNNNNNNNNNNNNNNNNNNNNNNNNNNNNNNNNNNNNNNNNNNNNNNNNNNNNNNNNNNNNNNNNNNNNNNNNNNNNNNNNNNNNNNNNNNNNNNNNNNNNNNNNNNNNNNNNNNNNNNNNNNNNNCCCCGGGGAAGAUAUGGGCCUUAUGGGCCAAAGGAGGGGUCAGACCAGCUCACAAGGGGGCUGGCGCGCCCCUCCUAUGGCUGGCCGGCCCUAAGGGGAAGGAAAGGGGAGGGGUGGCCCCUCCUGCCUUUCCCUCCUCAGGAGAGAAAGGAGGGGGGGCACCUCCUCCUUCCUUCCUCCCGCGCUCCAAAUAAGGAAAGGGGGGCGCGGCUUGGGAGAGACCCCAAGUAGGAUUCCCCCUACUUGGGUGCCCCCCUUGGCUGCUCCUCCCUCCCUCCCACCUAUAUAUAUGUGGGAGGGGCGCCUAGCACAUAACAAACAAUUGCCUAGCCGUGUGCGGCGCCCCCUCCACCGUUUACACCCCCGGUCAUAUUUUCGUAGUGCUUAGGCGAAGCCCUGCGGAGAUAGCUUCACCAUCACCGUCACCACGCCGUCGUGCUGCCGGAACUCAUCCACUACCUUGCCGUCUUGCUGGAUCAAGAAGGCCGAGGACGUCAUCGAGCUGAACGUGUGCUGAACGCGGAGGUGUCGUACGUUCGGUGCUCGAUCGGUUGGAACGUGACGAAGUUCGACUACAUCAACCGCGUUGUCAAACGCUUUCGCUUACGGUCUACGAGGGUACGUAGACACACUCUCCCCAUCUCGUUGCUAUGCAUCUCCAUGGAUAGAUCUUGCGUGUGCGUAGAAUUUUUUUUGUUUUCCAUGCAACGUUUCCCAACAAUAUGAUCCUAGCGUGUGGACUCGAAAGUUCGAAGGCGCAACUAUAGAUCAAUUGAGACACUCUCAAGUGAUUGGUUCACUCGUGUACUCCCUCCUUCCAUGUAUAUAGGGCCUAAUGCAGUUUUCAAGAUUGCCUUUGACUAGUGAUAAGAUUAACAAUAUAUGAGAUGUAUAAUAUGAAAAUUAUAUCAUUAGAAGCUCCUUUCACGUAUGAAUUUGAUGGUGUGCUUUGUGUAACUUCCAUGUCAUAUACUUUUGCUCUAACAUCUAGUCAAAGUUAGCCUCCAAACACGCAUUAGGCCCUAUAUACAUGGAAGGAGGGAGUACCUAGCUUGUGUUACUCGGCCAGACAUCUCAUUUGUUGUGUGCAAACUGAGCCGGUUUGUCUCCAAUCCAGGAGAUGUGCAUUGACAUGCCGUUGGGUGAGUCAUGCAUUAUUUGCAAGGUACUAUGAACUAUGGAAUUCACUAUACUGGGUUCCCGAUGGUACUUGAGGCUUUAUAGUGAUUUGAAUUGGAUAUCUGAUGCUGAUGAGAUGAAACACACGAGUGGAUAUCUUUUGUCAAAGAGUUGGCCCUCUCCGAGCCACGGUCCAUCGCUCAUCUCGCGCCCGGUGCAGCAGGACCGAGCUCGUCUCGCGCCCGGGGCUGCAGGACGGGUCGAUGGAGGCCAGUUUAGGCCAGCCUAUUGGGUCUCAACGCUGGGGGCCGCCCAGGGGUGCGAAAGGCGGGGCCUUACCGCUUGUAUCUUUGGUUGGGCUAGCGGCAAGUCUCGAGUGAGGUGGUGCCAAGGUCUUGGAUGCCGGGGUGGCGGCCCUGGUGGUGGUAGUGCGAUGCUCAUGGGCAGAGACGUGGAUCGAUGCUGCCCGGUGGCCAUGGCCAUGUGGGCAGCGUGGUCGCCGGGGUGUGGCGUUCGAUGGCGGUGAGUGUUGGCCGGGGUGAAAACUUGUUCCAUCUUCGGACGGACCGGCGGCGACGAAGCUCGUUCCCUUCUUUGGAUCGGGCGGUGGCGGCGCACCCGUGUAGUAUCCUUCUUGAAGGUGCCGCCUUGAAGCCCACAGUUCGUCGUAUGCGGCUUCAUCUCUUUGCGGUGGUGUGUUUAUGGUUGAAUCAUCCGGUUGCUCUUGUAGUGUUACGAGUGGUGUUACUGCGCUCAGCGCCUCUCUAUCCUACCUUGGGUGUGCGCAUGUGUUGUGGUGGUAUGCGUUUGUAUCGGUUUGUUGAUGAUCGUUGCUUUAUAUAUAAAGUGGGGCGAAAACUUUUUUAGGCAAAAUGACGUGCUCAGAGUUCUGCGCAAGGAGCUUGGACAUUUCCAGGAAAUACGACGGCUGGAUGCUGAUUUGGUCUGAAGCAGCCUCCCAAGUCACCAAACAGAUCGACAACAACUUCGACAAGCAUCGCACCUAUGGCGUGUCUUCUUUUGCAAAAUGGCCAUUUGUCAUAGUGAUCUUACCUCGCUUCUAUGGCGUCUCAAACUUUGUUUGCUCUUUUGUAAUAUUAGCUUUAAUAAACAUUGUGGAUUUGCAGAUCUAUAUAUGUACUGUGCUUUGAUCGACCAUUGCUGAAUGUUGGUCCCGCGCUUAAUGCGUUUGUUUAUACAGCAAACAAAUGCUUCCUCCAUCUCACAAUAUAUAUAGUGCGUAUUUGAUCCUUUUAAAGUUAAAUUUUAAUCAAAUUUAUUGAUAAAGGUGGCUGAACGGAGAAACGACAUUGAUGGUUCCUUCCAAAAAAUGUAGAUCCAGCCUUCAAGAUUGGUCUGGAGUUCCACAAUAAAGGUGGCUAUAGUUUGGGAAAUGGAUGGUCUCCUUAUAACAUUAGUUUAGACAUUCUCACAAUUAUUUUUCCCCCAAAAAGGAGGAUAUUUUCACAAGCCAGAGUCAACCAUCGCAGUUUGAAAUGCACUUCACAGAUAACUGUGGGUUCCUACGAAUCACGCCAACAAACUGACGAAUGUUAGCCUCUGACACACCUCCCAAACCUUAGUUCAGAGAUAAAGGUUGGUCGUUCAGAGAAAUUUAGUGCGAUGAACAGACACUCGAGAGCUGUGGCUGGGAUGUCGCCAGGUGCCACGGUGGUAUUAAGAUCAAUGCUGGCGAGCUCGACGGCUGCAACAUCAGGGAAGCCCUACUUAGAAACAGUGGAGUCCGCAUAAGCAGCAGCAAAUGGGCCGGGAUGCUGAACUACUGCCAGUUCAGCUUACCGUGCAGUAUUUUCUUUACUGGAAGGCCUCGCACAGGGAAAAUUGUCAUUUUGGUGUUUACUUUUGGCCUGAAAAUUUUCCCUUCUUAUUGCAUUCUCUAGUGCUUAAAUAAAAUAAAAUAUAUAAUGUGCAUAAAACCCAAAACAGCUAUUAAAAUCAUAGUAGAUGAACAGAAAUAGUAGGGAUAUAAAGCAGUACCUGAACAUACAAAAGCACAUGGCCACAACUCUCUUCAGUUCCAUCUUGUCUCCAGAUUUCGGGACUAGAUCAUCAGCACCAUCACCAGGAUCAGGCUCUUUGUGAUACAUCCACAAGCAUGGCAUCCUGGUAUGGCUUCACCUUGGCAUUCUGGUAUGGCAUCACCUUAGCAUUCAGGUUCAAUUUCUAUGCCUUGCACAAUACAUCCCUCUUUCGUAGACGUAACAACUCUAUCAUGGGAACUCUUGGAGUUCUCCCGGCGAUGCAUUCAAAGAUGCUGAUAAGCAGCAGCCCUCCAACAACAGAGGCACUUGCUAGUGAGCUUGUGACCAAUAACGGCAUCAGGUGUCCGGUUCCCGAACAAAUUCAUCUUCAUGGGAAUCAAAGAUUUUGUGGCCCCUGACUUAUUAAGAGCAAAAAAGUUAACAUCAUGGUCAGAGUGCACCAUAUGUGCCUGAAAUAUAUAAAAAAAAUGGAAUGAGUGAAUACAUAACAGCCCAUAAUUACACACCCAAAGAUGAUCAGCACAAGAAAUUUCUGUUCUAUGAGAAACGAAACAAAUGACCUUGCAAGUUAAUGAAGUAGAGUAAAUUUAGUGAUACUUCAUAUUUCAAGUCAUCAGUUCUUGGAAAAAGGGAUAUCCUCUCCCAUAUUCUAUAUGAAUAACGAGACACACAAUAUAUUCAUAUAAACCAGAAUUGGCUGCAUAGGAAAAAAACACCUACAUAUUCUACUGGUGUCAUUUCAAUCAUGAUUCUCACUCGCCACCUACGUUGAAAAAACCCAAGAAACUGCACAAAGAAGAGGUAAACAUGCUGCGUGAAGAUUGUUAACUUGUUCAUGAUCAUGAUUAUACUACUAAGGUCACAGGAAAGCAUUUGCAUUAUUUUCAGAGUCUCCAAAGGUUCUCAGCUGGCACCCCACAAAGGGCAAGCGCAACAUUGAAAUCCAAGAUGCCAUGAUUGGCUUGGCCAGGAUCAUACAAAUCACACACAAAUCGAGAAAUAACAGGCCGAUGUAGUCUCUAGAUCAAAUCCACCCACAACUUUCAGAUCUGACAUCUUCCUACUCGCAGAACUGCAGAAACUGCUGAAGUUUGAUUUGGUACAGUUUGAAAACAAUUAUUUAAACCAUAGUUGGCUUCUUGCCUAAGCAUGCUAGUACUAACCUAUUCUGCUGCAAUUACAAAUUCUGAAGUUCCCAUCCUUGCUCUGAAAAGAGCAAAUCAUACACAUAUUUAUAUCUCUGCCAUAUCUUGCUUACCAUAUACUCCCUCCGUCCCAUAAUAUAAGAGCGUGUUUUACACUAGUGUAGUGUCAAAAACGCUCUUAUAUUUUGGGUCGGAGGGAGUAUAGAUAAUUGCACACCUAAAUAAGAGACAGCUAAUUAGCAACUGCAAGCUUGCCUUCCUUUAUUCCUUUCUCUCCACAUUACAACUUUUAAGAAAAUUGCUGAAAUUAACAAAGACUAGUACUAUGUUCAGUACAAGUAUUAUAUUGCAUUGAAGUUGCAACACCAGAUUAUUCCGUUAUAGCUGCAAGCAGUCUUGGCAUUGGGGGCACAUCAAUCUCCUGUAGACCCUCGAGAACCCGGACUACUUCACCCAUGGUCGGCCGAUCCAACUCAUUAUCUUGGAUGCACCAACAUGCAACUUUGCAAAUCCUUUCAGCCUCUUCCAAGUUGAAGUCACCAUGUAACCGUGGAUCCACCAAACUCUUCAAAUCUCCACUGUGAAGCUUGCUUAUGGCUUGCACAGGGAAGUAUUCAAUAUUCUGGUUACUGUUGCUGCUGCUGGUGUUGUACGAUGUUUCAGGUGAGGAAUUCCUCCUUCCUGAUAUGAUUUCCAAUAGCACCAUGCCGAAUCCGUAAACAUCGACUUUCGGUGUGAUCGCCACUCCAGUAAGCCACUCUGGGGCAAGAUAACCCACAGUUCCUCUGAAUGAAGUCAGAAUUCGGCUGAAAUCCCUUCCCACAAACGCUGCCAACCCAAAGUCUGCAACUUUAGGAACAAAUGAUGCAUCCAGAAGUAUGUUCUCUGGCUUAAUAUCGCAGUGUAUGAUGCACUCACGACAACCCUGAUGCAAGUAGCACAAUCCUCUAGCAACUCCUAGGGAUAUCUGACAUCUGAUGUUCCAAUUCAGGACAACAACAUUUGCAUUGCUCUUCUUAAAUAGAUGACUAUCAAGAGACCCAUUUAACAUGUGUUCAUACACAAGUAAUCUGUGAUCACCUUCGCAGCAGAAACCAAUCAAUUUGACUAGGUUUAUGUGUUGGAUCAGUCCAAUUGAGCUCACCUCGGCCCUGAAUUGCUUCUCUCCUUGACGGGCACCAUCGAGCCUUUUCACUGCUAUAGUAGUCAUUGAGUCACUUAACACCCCCUUGUAUACAGAACCAAAACCACCUCCUCCAAGCUUUUCUGAGAAGCUUUUAGUAGCACGAACCAAGUGAGUGUAUCUGAAGGCUAUGAUUCCACCAGCACUACCUGGAUUGUCGUAUAUAGGCAAACCACACCACUUGAAUUUGUACCUCCAAAUCAGUAACAACAGCAUGACCAUUAUUAACCCAAAACCAAUAAUACUUACAAUGGUAACAACUCCUGCCUUUGGUUUUCUUUCGUUUUUUCUGGAACCUGGUAGCAAAUCUUUGGCAGCAAGGCGAAGAUAAAGAACAUCUUCAGAAUUAUUAUCAAUGCCAUCAUUAAGAUUUACACUAAACAAUUCCCCAUGCCAGACAGAGCAUCUGCUAUUGCUAUAGGAAUAGGCAGUGCAGGAGCAGGAACCAAGACAUGCUUCUUCACAUUUACUUUUAGUAGCAACAUCUACAAUUUGCGGGUUGUAGGGCAGUGCAACUUGAGCAAUGGGGUGGAAUAUGUCUGUUGAAUUUGUCAUGUUUUUGUUGUUACCACUAGUGCUGCAAUGUAACGGUGUGUUUCUGAUGCAUCCUCCUGUUCGAUCCUCAAACUCCAAAUCCUGCGGUGACUUCUGGGAGAAGCUCUCCAUACAGUCACAUGAUGGAUGUGCAAUGCCGUUGCAGACCGUGAAAGGUCCGCAAGUAGCAGGCGGAGUGCAGGGAUCGGCAGGCUCGGAAUAUAUGCUUUGCCAAGACUGGCUGGCUUGUGACCAAACAUUCACCUUUAUCUGACCAGAGAUGUCUAGUGAGACAAACACAGAAGACGAUGAUUCAUCCGGCGAAGUGUACAUGUAGUACUCCUCUUGGUCGUUGUCAACAUAUGCUGGGUUAAUCAAACCUUUUGUCCGGGGAUCCAAAUCUAACGUGGUCUUGAUUAAUUGCACAAGAUUCAACGAUGAUGUUCUGGAGGAUGCCCAAUGCCAGUACACUACCGAGGGGUUGCGAUGCUUGAGGACGAUCCCGGUGCUGUCUAGUUCAAUGCUGUAUGACCCUAGACCCAGAUCAAUGAGGCUUUUCUUUGAUAUGUACUGACGAAUGAAACCGGGGACCUUGUUCCGGCCUAACUUGGCACCAGGAAGCGCAACAUCUGUUGGGUAGUCAAAGCUCUGCCACAACAUGUCUUGGCUAUUUGCGAGUAGGGCAAGGUUACCACUGUUCAAGAGAACAACGGCUAUAGAGGCGGUGGUGUUUAUGCUACUAGUUUUCCUAUUGACAAUGUGAGUGGACCAAACAAUGGAUUCAGUUUUGGCGGCAUGGUUUAUGAUGACAAGAUUGUCAUCGCUUGAGAUCUUGAGCUGUGUCAGGUUGAGAUUGGGGUGGGUGAUGGGCUCCUCUCUAUUAGCAACCCACACGGUAGUGAAAACGGGGAUCUUAUUGAACCAUAUGCCAAGGUACCAGCUGGAGCUGGGGGAGGUGGCAUUGCGGGACGACUUACUGAUGCUGCUUGCUGCUGGCUGGAAGAAGCCAAGGGCGAACUUGCCGUUUCUUGAGACGAGCUUGUCACCAACGCCGAGCGCUUGGCCUGCCGUGAGAGUGUCUUCAGUGGCAGCUGCAGAGGAGCACCAAGGAGCAGUGUGCAAGAGGAGAAGCCCGAGUAGUAUGUAGAGGGGAGGCAUGCUGAAGAAGUGUGAAUAAUUUAGACAAGAAGAGUAGGUGCAUAUAUAGAAUGGAAGGCCAAGUGUUCAGCAGACUGAAGCUGACGGGGAAGUCAAGUAAGUUCACAUUGGGACAGAAUAAGCAUAAAUACACAACAGUGGUACCAUAAAUACAAAACUGUGGUACCAUAAAUACAAGGCUGUACUACCAUAAUUGCAAGGCAGGACAUUCAAUGGACCAUGGUCAGGUCAAUCACGAGGCUUUCACCAAGCUUACUAUUCACCAACCUUUGUAUUAAUAUUAACCCAAACCAGAAAAGGUACCUCACAUAUUAGAGGGGAGGGCUAUCUUUGAAUAGAACUUUUCAAAACACUUUUACUAACCAACCAACAAAAUAUUUUCUUCAAUGCAUAGUCGAACACUACAAAUGCAAAUUCAAGGCAUAUCAACACAGAAGAUCAACAAAAGCCCCCUCCCCAGAAAAGUACUACUCCCUCCGAUCCAUAUUACUUGUUGCUCAAAUGGAUGUAUCUAGAUGUAUUUCAUUGCUAGAUACAUCCAUUUGAGCGACAAGUAAUAUGGAUCAGAGGGAGUACCACAAAAAUACGAUAAUGUUGUAAGCUAAAGUCGGUACUGAAAUUUCAACUUAUGCCUAGACAAGCUUUGAAACCGUCCCUAUCUAGCAGAAUAGGACCAUACUUUCAGUGGACCAUAGCUUAUCUACGAGGACUUUCAGUGGACCAUACUUACCAUUCAUCAACCCUCAUGGCAAUGGCUUCAAUGAGCAUGGCGGGCUGGCAGAAUAGGGGAAAUGGCAACACACAGAACAGUAGCGCUCUGUUUUUGAGGGAGAAAAAUCAUCAAUAUAAUGCUAGAUGUAGUUUGGCAAUGUCGGCAAAUCCUACAUAAGUAACAGCAAGGGAGCUUCCUUCUAUAUCUCAUCCAGUCCAUUGCUACAACUGGAAGUAUAUAUGUCAAGAACCCUCAUGGCAUGCUGCUUAUCAGUCAGUGGUCACUGGUCAGCCAACAACGCAAUCGCUUGAACGACCAUGGUAUUAGCCUAAACCAGAAAGAAAAAACACCUCACUUGUAUGAGGGUUAUAUUCUACAAAUACAAAUUCCACGUAUAUACAGAAGCUCCUUAGAAAGACAAACAAAAGUAUGACCACAGAAAUAAAACAAAUGCUGUGAGCUGCAGUUGGCAAACUUAAAACACAUAUGUGCUACAGAAGCUUCAGGGUGAUCUACAGCUUCAUCGAUUUCAAGUCGCUUUCUCUAGUUCAACCCCUGUUAGACUGGUUGCUUCAUCCUUUUGUUUGAGCCCCUUGUUUAAACCUUCUUUUUUUAUUUUAUUUUUUGCCUAAGGACAUGUAAAUCAUGUACACCUUUUUUUAUCUAUAAAAAAUCACACUCCAGGGGUUUCCCCUGUGGUAUUUCAGUCAAGAAAAGGAAAAGGAACGGUGGUAGUAGUGGCAAUAUCAGAGUGCCAGGCCCACCUCUUCAGGACUGAUAUUUAACUUAUACCUACACAAGCAAUGGCACCAUCCUAGGUUCUUGGACCAUGCUCCAACCCAGACAUAAGAUUCAUCAAGCCCUCUCAUUAGAUCACAUGCCUACUGUGAAGAGUCAAAUCUUCCCCUCGGUGAACAUGUAAGUGCGAAAGGUUAAUCUACAGAAGGUCAGAAAGAAAGCACCUAACAGGCAAAAUUUUCUUUUAUAGCAUUGCCAAGUUCAGGAUAAAGGAAAUACAGCAUACAUCGAUAUAUCUAAAAGCAGAGCAUCUAGAGAACAGGCUGCUCCUCUAUUGUCAGAACAGGAAAUAUGGCAACAAAUAGAACAGCAAGGAAUAAACGAUCUUUUUUCAAGAUGAGUUGGACCUGCAAUAGUUGGGAAAAUACAAUUUUGUACAGCGUGUGGGAAGAGAAGAGAAGAGAAGAGAGAGCUCACCACCACCAGCCAACCAUUUCUCAGCUUGUAGAACCAGAGGUAGAAAGACCGUCGUACAGCAAAUAAUAUGCUAAUGGAAAAGAGAGCUCCAUUUCCAUGCCUGCGGCAAUAGCGAGGAACUUCUAACAGCACAUGUCAACUACAGAAAGAAAUACUCCUGUUAGAAAUUGACCAGGAUUAGGAGUAGCAUUCUUCAAGAUUCAACUAGUUGACCAAGAUUCAGACUUAUGCAGUAGUAUGACCGUAUGAAACUAUGAGUUGACCAAGAUUCAACUAGUCUGAUGUGGUAUAUGAGACGAGAGGAGGGGCUAACCGAACCUGCGGAGGAGAAAGUGGUCGUUGAGGCGCUCGAGCUUGCCGGCGUCGAAGCGGACGGCUGGUCGUGGUCGUCGUAGAGGUGAGGCCCGCGUCACUCCCCAUUCGCCCUGCCAAGCUCUACGGCCGCCUGCAGGCCGAACAUUGCUCGCUGGCAUACUCUCUCCGGCCGCCGCCGCCGCCGCCGCCGCCGCGGCGAGGCUGGGAGGCGACGGCGGAGGGGUCGGAGGAGAGAGAGAGAGAGAAGAACGGGGCGUUUCAUGAAUGGGCCGGCAUUGAGAGGGCCUGCUGGGCUGGGCCUUCUGUGGGCAAUCACACUGACUGUGUGUAAUAUGGAGACAUCGACGCACUACUCACAUGCUAAAAAAUUAUUCUCUCAUCUUUCAAAAAAUAAAUUUAAAUGUUUAAAAAAUAUAUGAAUAAAUUUUUCACAGCACAUGUAUCUAUAAUAUCUAAAAAAUUCAAAUCCAAACUCAAGAUACGAAUGCAGAAUUUUUUCUAGGGACCGUAGACACACGUUGUGAACGUUAAAAACAUCAUAAUUUUUUGAUUUCUUUUAAGUUGGGAGCUUGGGAGCUGUGACGCCUCCGAUUCAAUCGUACACUAAUCAUACACGUAAACGUGUACGAUCAAGAUCAGGGACUCACGGGAAAAUAUCACAACACAACUCUAAAAUAAAAAUAAGUCAUACAAGCAUCAUAAUACAAGCCAGGGGCCUCGAGGGCUCGAAUACAAGUGCUCGAUUAUAGACAAGUCAGCGGAAGCAACAAGAUCUGAGUACAGACCUAAGUUAAACAAGUUGCCAUAAAAUGGCUAGCACAAACUGAGAUACAGAUCGAAAGAGGCGCAGGCCUCCUGCCUGGGAUCCUCCUAAACUACUCCUGGUCGUUCGCGUCCUGAACGUAGUAGUAGGAACCCUCGGUGUAGUAGGGGUCGUCGUCGACGGUGGCGGCUGGCUCCUGGGCUCCAACACCUGGUUGCGACAUCCGAGAAAAAAAGGAAAAGGGGAAAAGGGGGAGCAAAACAACCGCGAGUACUCAUCCAAAGUACUCGCAAGCAAGGAUCUACACUACAUAUGCAUGGGUAUCUGUGUAAAGGGGCAAUAUCGGCGGACUGAACUGCAGAAUGAUAGAAUAAGAGGGGGAUAGCUAGUCCUGUCGAAGACUACGCUUCUGGCAGCCUCCAUCUUGCAGCAUGUAGAAGAGAGUAGAUGGUAAGUUCAUCAAAUAUCAUCGGAUAGCAUAAUCCUACCCGGCGAUCCUCUCCUCGUCGCCCUGUGAGAGAACGAUCACCGGGUUGUAUCUGGCACUUGGAAGGGUGUGUUUUAUUAAGUAUCCGGUUCUAGUUGUCAUAAGGUCAAGGUACAACUCCGGGUCGUCCUUUUACCGAGGGACGCGGCUAUUCGAAUCGAUAAACUUCCCUGCAGGGGUGCACCACAUUACCCAACACGCUCGAUUCCUCUGGCCGGACACACUUUCCUGGGUCAUUGUCCUGCCUCGGAAGAUCAACACAUCGCAGCCCUACCUAGGCACAACAGAGAGGUCAGCACGCCGGUCUAAAUCCUAUGCGCGCAGGGGUCUGGGCCCAUCGCCCAUUGCACACCUGCACGUUGCGAACGCGGCCGGAAGCAGACCUAGCCCCCUUAAUACAAGCGCAGGCUCACGGUCCAAUCUGGCGCGUGCCGCUCAGUCGCUGACGUCAAGAAGGCUUCGGCUGAUACCACGACGUCAGUGCCCAUAACUGUUCCCGCGUAGUUGGUUAGUAUGUAUAGGUCAGUCGCCAGAACCAGAUCAAAUACCAAGAUCUCGUUAAACGUGUUAAUUGAUGUAACCGCAGACGCCGACCAGGGCCAGGCCCACCUCUCUCCUAGGUGGUCUCAACCUGCCCUGUCGCUCCGCCACAAAGUAACAGUCGGGGGUCGUCGGGAACCCAGACCCACCACUACCUGGAUGGAACCACCUGCCCCUUCAGCCCCCACAUCGAAGUCACUUGCGGGUACUCUACGAGCCGACCCGACUUUAGUCACCACCUGUAUAGUAUGUAUGUAUGUAUUUAUAUACCCGUGGAUCACCUCCCGAGUGAUCACGGCCCGAUAGUAUAGCAUGGCAGACAGACAAGGAUGUAGGGCCACGGAUGAAGUACUAGCAACCUAUACUAGGCAUGUAGGAUUGCAGGUAAAGGUAUCAACAAUUGUAGCAACAAUGACAGGCUACGCAGCAGAAUGGGAUUAACCGAAAGCAGUAACAUGCUACACUACUCUAAUGCAAGCAGUAGAGAGAAGGAAUAGGCGAUAUCAGGUGAUCAGGGGGGGAGGGGGCUUGCCUGGAAGCUCAGCCGAGAAAGAGGGGUCGUCAACACCGUAGUCGUACUGGGUAGCAGCGGCGUCGGUCUCGGUGUCUAACGAGAGAAGAGGGGGAAGAAACAAUAAAUAUAAUGCAAACAUAUGCAUGACGACGCAUGACAAGACAAUGAGCGGUGCUAGGUGUGCCCUAACGCAGUGCUACACGAUACCGAGGAAGGGGGAACCCAUCCGGGAAAGUUUUCCCGGUUCCGGACUAAUGUUGAACAAGUGACCAGAGAGGGAAUGUUCCAGGUUCGGAUAGUUAGAGGUAUCCGACGGUUAUGUGGGUAGUGUAUGGUGGUUCGACUCAUCGUUCUAAGCAACUUUCAUGUACAAAGCAUUUUCAUCCUAGCUACGUAUUAUUUUACAUUAAUUUUUAAAGUUUUAAUCAAUUUCUAAAUUAUUAUUAUUGAAUAAAUUCAAAAAUAGCAUUACUGCCUCAGCAUGAUGUCAGCAUGACGUCAGCAGUCAACAGAGGUGUUGACUGGGCCAAACUGACGUGUGGGUCCGCAUGUCAUUGACUGAGAUUAACUAAACAGGUUAAUUAGUUUAAUUAGUGAUUAGGUUAAUCUAAUUAGGAUUAAUUAAGUUAAUAAUUUUUUACUUAUUAUUAUUUUUAAAAUUCUUUUUUAUGUUUUCGUUCUGGGCGCAUGGGGCCCAAAUGGCAGGGGGCCAUCUGGCCUAACGGGCGCUGGGCGCCAGCGGGCGCCCGACCAGGCGAGGGCCGAGCGCGCGCAGAUGGGCGCCGGCACCGGGCGAUGACCGGGGCUGCGGCGAGGCCGGCCGGGAACGGCUCCGGCGAGGCCGACCGAGUGCCGGACUACAACAGAGGACGACGGGGGUCGCGCGAGGGGGCGGGCUGCAGGCUGCGGCAGCCUGGGCGUGGGCGCAUCAGCAGAGCAGUGGUAAUGGGGCGUGCGGUCAGAGCGGCAGGGGCGAGUGUGAAGCAGUAGCGCGGCCGUGGCAGGCGAGCAGCGACGGGGGAAGCAGCAGGCGAGUGAGGCCGCGUCGGGGGCGCGCGAUCGUGAGCUGCGGUCGGCGCAGACGAGCAAGUGCGCGCGCGGGGCGGCUCGAGCGGCAGUAGCAGGUGCGACAUCAGCAACAGCAGCGCAACUAGCAGCGGCCUCAGGUAGUUGCAGCGCGAGGAGCAGGGGCGCGGGGCGAUGGCCGGUGCGGGGGUCGCGGUGNNNNNNNNNNNNNNNNNNNNNNNNNNNNNNNNNNNNNNNNNNNNNNNNNNNNNNNNNNNNNNNNNNNNNNNNNNNNNNNNNNNNNNNNNNNNNNNNNNNNNNNNNNNNNNNNNNNNNNNNNNNNNNNNNNNNNNNNNNNNNNNNNNNNNNNNNNNNNNNNNNNNNNNNNNNNNNNNNNNNNNNNNNNNNNNNNNNNNNNNNNNNNNNNNNNNNNNNNNNNNNNNNNNNNNNNNNNNNNNNNNNNNNNNNNNNNNNNNNNNNNNNNNNNNNNNNNNNNNNNNNNNNNNNNNNNNNNNNNNNNNNNNNNNNNNNNNNNNNNNNNNNNNNNNNNNNNNNNNNNNNNNNNNNNNNNNNNNNNNNNNNNNNNNNNNNNNNNNNNNNNNNNNNNNNNNNNNNNNNNNNNNNNNNNNNNNNNNNNNNNNNNNNNNNNNNNNNNNNNNNNNNNNNNNNNNNNNNNNNNNNNNNNNNNNNNNNNNNNNNNNNNNNNNNNNNNNNNNNNNNNNNNNNNNNNNNNNNNNNNNNNNNNNNNNNNNNNNNNNNNNNNNNNNNNNNNNNNNNNNNNNNNNNNNNNNNNNNNNNNNNNNNNNNNNNNNNNNNNNNNNNNNNNNNNNNNNNNNNNNNNNNNNNNNNNNNNNNNNNNNNNNNNNNNNNNNNNNNNNNNNNNNNNNNNNNNNNNNNNNNNNNNNNNNNNNNNNNNNNNNNNNNNNNNNNNNNNNNNNNNNNNNNNNNNNNNNNNNNNNNNNNNNNNNNNNNNNNNNNNNNNNNNNNNNNNNNNNNNNNNNNNNNNNNNNNNNNNNNNNNNNNNNNAAAAAUUACCACUAGUACCUAAAUUUGUAUCUAUAGACAAACUACUGUCAGACUAAUUCUUAACCCAUAAUAAAUUAGUUUUAAUAUUUCAUAAAUUUCCAUAGGCAUCUGUUUUAUUGUUUUCACUGAUGUUUUAAUUAUUUUAGUGCAUUUGAAUUCUUUACGGAAGUGUGGUUUCUUUACUAUAAUUACUUACGCAUUAUUUGGCACAACCCAAACAUUUUAAUUUUAACGUUUGAAAACUUGAAUCGUUUGACUUUAAUUCAAAUUUAGAUUUGAACCGGUUUUGAACUAACACGAGAUUAACAACAGUAACGGAGGUGACGUGGCAUCAUUAGUAGAGGUUUACUGUAGCUUAAUUAUCCGGGCGUCACAAUUCUCCUCCACUACAAGAAAUCUCGUCCCGGGAUUUAAGAGGCGGAGUAAAGGGGGAAGGUUCUGGUUACGAAAUUCUAGCGAGUGUUCUCGGUCUUGGUUGCUCUUCUCGAAGAGGUUGAUCCAUUACGUGAGGUCUUCAUUUUGCUGCUUCGGGUCAUCAUGAUGAAUUCAUCUUCCUUUCUUCAGGAACUCCAUCGUACGUACGAAGGUCAAGGGUUAACUUCGGAAGAACGGGCCGCUACAAUGUUGCUUAUCUGGUAGAUAACAUCAGGAAAGGUGGCGGAAAGUAACUCUCGAAUUGAUACUUAAGAAAUUAUCGAGAGCAAAGUAAGAAGGUGCAAAAUGGAAGUUUCAAGCGCAUAGGCAAUCGUUUGUUGCCUGAAACAAAGUGUGAAAGGGGUUUAGAGCAAUGGGAAUAAGCAUUGCGUCUGAUACCAGAAUAGAUCACUAGGCAGGUGGCCCGUGAAUUACAUACAAAGUCAAGCGCGAGGAAUAACUUUGACAAAUGGGUGUACAGGAGAGUCAAGUUUCGAUCCUGUGGAACUAUGGGUUAUUGGCCCACCAUGUGGGUUAAAAGUAGAAAGAGCGGUGACAUCUUGCAAGGAUAUGAUAGUAAGGCAGGUCAGAGGAUAGCCUGCCAGUUAUGAUGGCAACAAUGCUGGUACCAAGGGCGAGGGACGAAGAGAACCAUUUUCCUGCUCGUUGAAACCAGGCGGACCAAUAGGCAGAGUUCUCGUCCAUCGGUGGUUACCGGAAUGUUGUCAACAAUAGUAACAGUGUCUUACUGACAAAGUUGUACACCGAGGUGUUUACAUAAGCAGAGAAAUAUUACUACUUAUAUCAUAUAGAUCACCAGAAAGGUUAACAAAACAAUGGAAAGGAAAAUGUGAUUAUUAUGUUAAUCAGACCAAUGGAAAGGAAAGGUGUUUAUACUCAAGUAUUAGAGUACAUCCUUCCAAAGGACAAGCAGAGAUUGAUAUUCACAACAAGAUAACAAGUAGAAACCAUUUGGGUAGAGGAGCAACGAAACUCAUAAUGUUACCCAUACAAUGGUGUUUGGAUAUUUGGUCAAGAAACAUUUAGCAUUAUGCUUCCAAUGUUAUUGUUGAAGAUCGGAGUACCACGGACAUGCUCCGAGAUAGCAUUGACAUGGUCUUCAAGCAAAGGUCAGACUUUGAUACUCAAAGGAUUCAUCAGGAACAACUUAUAGAAUAAGUCUUACAAUUUCCUCAUGGAAGAAUGGUUAACCUUGCUAAAAAGAAAGAAUUAUAAUAAAAGGUCCUCCGGCCAGGUGUGCUAGGCAUGACAUCACCUUACCGGGUCAUGUAAAGAUGUUAUAACUCCUGGAAAUAUGUCCCAACCAUCAUAUCUAACCGAGAUUCAGAUCUGAUUGGUGUCAGGAUACCUCGGACUCAGGAUGCUUGAGAAGAAGAGGUGCAGCACAAAUCGACGAGAUGACAUUAUAAGAUUCUCGGGAAAUGAACUAUAGAAGCAAGUUCCAAAACAAAAGUUCAUCAUUAACCAAGGAGAAAAUGAGGAUGUGGCCGAUGAACUCAGCGACAACUCAUCGAGAUUUCCAAAAGAUGGAUUUCCACAAUUAUGUGAACAAGGAGAUAACAUUUGUCAGACCAAAUGAUAUAAUGAGGUAUGCUCGAGGAAAACAUAUGCAAUUAACCAUUGGUUGAAAAGCGGACCCGAAAUAUGGGCUUAGAUCGCAUGAUCAAUGUUAGAAUGGUGAUUCAAUAACCAAUAGUCUAAGAAUGAACUGUCGACCAUUAACUUCAAAGCAAUAGGGUUGCUAGAAGUUUUGAAUCCGCACCUCAUAGUUCAAUUGUCGGUUUUCCAGUUAGAAACAACACGGGCACCAAGGAACGAACGGAGAUGGCAAGAGGUAUCACUUGUGUCAAGAAUUCUUAAAGAGGUGGUGAAAUCCUCACGUCAUUCUUAACAUAAAAGAUGGUAAUACUCCAAGGUAAAGAAGAACAAAUGCUGGAUAACAAGGAACUCAAGGUAUAACACAGAACACGAACAAGUUUGUGUUGGAGGGAAGGCAAUAAAGUGGUCAAUGAAAACACAAAUCAUCGAGGGCAAGGAUGGUAUUUCUCAUCAUGAGUUCAAUUGAUAUCCUGGAAGAGCUCGGAAUGCUGAUGAUGAUCUCAAUACAUUUGUCAAGAGGUUUCAUGAAGAUGUAAUCAAUCAGCGACGACAUCAAGCAAAAGCAAUGGUGAAGCGAAGGGUUAUUGGAACCACGGAUACGACACAAACUCGAAAUCAAUCUUGAUGUUCAUGGAGAAUUGAUAUGAUGAGGAAGAUCGACGCAAGAUUAGCUCGUCAUCGAAAAUUGUGCUCCGAGAAAAAGGACCAGGUAGCACAGUUAAAAAAUUAGCACGAUAAUGUUAUAGCCGAUCAGGCUAGGAAUGACUUGAAGGAUUAUUAAACUCGUAAGCAACAACAAAUUUACUUAAGAGUUUCUGAAUGGGAGUGCGAAAUCGAUUCACUUAUCGGUGUUCUCGAGUGACUAAUAACUCAGAACCCGGGGAAAAUCUAAAAUCGUUGAGAAGCAAUACUAGAUGAAGACUUAUAGGAAGCAACACAGUUCUUUGAUAUUCUCGAUAUACCGGAGGGUAAUAAUCGAAGGAAGAUCAAAAUAAAGGUUGCGGAGAUGUAUUGAUCAACAGAAGACAAGUGCUUUAACUUGUCUGAGAAAUGGAAUCAAAGAAUAUCAUUAUGGCCGGAAACACGAUUGCAAAAGACCAGGUCCCAGAUAUAAGAUGAACUUAUACAAAGGGAAUAAUUAAUUUAAGAGAAGCUUCCAUGAUAAGAUCACAUCGUGUCCAUGGGCAUGAACACAAAAUUCAAGGUCGACUCCCACUUCUCCAAUGCAUAACCUUUCAUUCACUUCUCGCGUUCGAUGAAGUUGUAGUGUUGAAAUUUUAUCUGGCAAAAUACCAGAAGAGUAUGACUCGUGAAAACUUUCGAGUUCACACAUAUUAAGGAAGGCAUAGGUCCAACCCAUCGGGGCAUCGAGGAAACAUAUACCACAAGCUUCAAUGGUAAUUAUCACCAGCUCGAAAGUAGAGCAUGAUUGGCCAAAUCAGAGAAUAGGAAUUACCAAUGGCAUUAUGUAUCAGAGAAAGAACUUCUUGAUGUUUUUGUAUACGAAAGACACUGUCAGAUGGUAAUUCAACAAAGGAUCUGACGGUCCAUAACGGGGCUGAUGUGAGCAUCGGCACACGAUCAGAGGACGAAACAAAGCAAAGGUCUUGGAUUAUAAAAACAAUAGACUAAUUCAAAGCUCAAAUGCAAAGGAAUUAUGAUUUCCAAAUCAAGGGAUCAUAAGAAAAUGCUCUGAUUAAGGAUGGAUAAGUCGGGUAGGCUUAGGGGUACAAUCGAUGACAAUUUGAUUGGUCGCGAACAAUCUCAUGUUCAAACUGACACUUAGCCGGAAGGAUGAAUUCUAGGAUUCGACUGAGGAAUGCGAGCAUCCUCAACAUAUUGAAUCAACUAACUAAAAAUGAUAAAGACAAGGGAUGCCAAUAAGAUUAUGGGACUUAUGGGAUUAACCAUAAUGCAAGCAAGCAAGAAUUUCAAGAGCAAUAUGCUGCUCAGGAUUUUCGGAAGACCGAAUGGUAUUUCGAAGACUUUUGUAAAACACAUGAUCAACAGGGAAUGAGCGGAUACUCGAUAAGUGCGAGGAAUUAUCCGUAGGGGUAUUUCUGUGGCAAAGAACUGCAAGGCAGUAGGCACAAAGUAUUCUUGGAACAAUAGAGAGGAUUUCGAGGUAUCUUAUAAUAACAAGAUCAAUGGGGAAUGAUUGUAUGAAUGGCAAGUGUACAUGGUUAUCCAUAGAGGUUUAUCGAUGGAUGGGAAUUGCAAAAGCGAUGGCACAAAGUCUCGAGAGAACAUCAUAGGGUAUCCUCGGAAUCUUCUGGUGCAGCAGACGAUCAUCUGGACUGAAGGGGCUCUCCAGGAGAAAGUAGUUACGAGAACCUAGAGUUAGAUUUAGUAAAAUCAUUUAACCCGAAUAGAAGAGAGAUCAGAGUCCCAGAGUAUAGACGAGGAGUAAAAGAUCCUAUUACCACCCAAUGGCGACGUGGGCCUGUAAGACACACAACCAUGUUAGUAAAAGUUUUGCAAUGUCUAGACUCGACUUCGGCCAAGGAGUGUGGAAGGGGGAUUCCUACAGGCAGUUGGCUCUGAUACCAACUUGCGACGCCUUCGAUUCAAUCGUACACUAAUCAUACACGCAAACAUGUACGAUCAAGAUCAGGGACUCACGGGAAGAUAUCACAACACAACUCUAAAAUAAAAAUAAGUCAUACAAGCAUCAUAAUACAAGCCAGGGGCCUCAAGGGCUCGAAUACAAGUGCUCGAUCAUAGACGAGUCAGCGGAAGCAACAAGAUCUGAGUACAGACCUAAGUUAAACAAGUUGCCAUAAGAUGGCUAGCACAAACUGGGAUACAGAUCGAAAGAGGCGCAGGCCUCCUGCCUGGGAUCCUCCUAAACUACUCCUGAUCGUCGGCGGCCUGAACAUAGUAGUAGGCACCCUCGGUGUAGUAGGGGUCGUCGUCGACGGUGGUGGCUGGCUCCUGGGCUCCAACAUCUGGUUGCGACGUCCGAGAAAAAAAUGGAAAAGGGAAAAAGGGGGAGAAAAGCAACUGUGAGUACUCAUCCAAAGUACUCGCAAGCAAGGAUCUACACUACAUAUGCAUGGGUAUCUGUGUAAAGGGGCAAUAUCGAUGGACUGAACUGCAGAAUGCCAGAAUAAGAGGGGGAUAGCUAGUCCUGUCGAAGACUACGCUUCUGGCAGCCUCCAUCUUGCAUCAUGUAGAAGAGAGUAGAUGGUAAGUUCACCAAGUAUCAUCGCAUAGCAUAAUCCUACCCAGCGGUCCUCUCCUCGUCGCCCUAUGAGAGAACGAUCACCGGGUUGUAUCUGGCACUUGGAAGGGUGUGUUUUAUUAAUUAUCCAGUUCUAGUUGUCAUAAGGUCAAGGUACAACUCCGGGUCGUCCUUUUACCGAGGGACACGACUAUUCGAAUAGAUAAACUUCCCUGCAGGGGUGCACCACAUUACCCAACACGCUCGAUCCCUCUGGCCGAACACACUUUCCUGGGUCAUGCCCGGCCUCGGAAGAUCAACACGUCGCAGCCCUAUGAUAUGUCUCCAACGUAUCUAUAAUUUUUUAUUGUUCCAUGCUAUUAUAUUAUCUGUUUUGGAUGUUUAAUGGGCUUUACUAAGCACUUUUAUAUUAUUUCUGGGACUAACCUAUUAACCGAAGGCCCAGUGCAAAUUGCUGUUUUUUUUGCCUAUUUCAGUGUUUGGCAGAAAAGGAAUAUCAAACAGAAUCCAAACAGAAUGAAACCUUCGGGAGAGUUAUUUUUGGAACAAAUGUGAUCCAAGGGACUUGGAGUGGACGUCAAGAAAGAAGCGAGGAGGCCACGAGGCAGGGAGGCGCGCCUGCCCCCUGGGCGCGCCCCCCACCCUCGUGGGCCCCUCGCAGCUCCACCGACCUACUUCUUCGUCCUAUAUAUAUAUAUAUCCAUAUACCCGGAAAACAUCCAGGAGCACCACAAAACCCUAUUUCCACCGCCGCAGCCUUCUGUACCCGUGAGAUCCCAUCUUGGGACCUUUUCCGGCGCUCCGCCGGAGGGGGAAUCGAUCACGGAGGGCUUCUACAUCAACACCAUAGUCUCUCCGAUGAUGUGUGAGUAGUUUACCACAGACCUUCGGGUCCAUAGUUAUUAGCUAGAUGGCUUCUUCUCUCUCUUUGGAUCUCAAUACAAAGUUCUCCUCGAUCUUCUUGGAGAUCUAUUCGAUGUAAUUCUUUUUGCGGUGUGUUUGUCGAGAUCCGUUGAAUUGUGGGUUUAUGAUCAAGAUUAUCUAUGAACAAUAUUUGAAUCUUCUCUGAAUUCUUUUAUGUAUGAUUUGUUAUCUUUGCAAGUCUCUUCGAAGUAUCAGUUUGGUUUGGCCUACUAGAUUGAUCUUUCUUGCAAUGGGAGAAGUGCUUAGCUUUGGGUUCAAUCUUGCGGUGUCCUUUCCCAAUGACAGCAGGGGCAGCAAGGCACACAUUGUAUUGUUGCCAUCGAGGAUAAAAAGAUGGGGUUUAUAUCAUAUUGCUUGAGUUUAUCCCUCUACAUCAUGUCAUCUUGCCUAAUGCGUUACUCUGUUCUUAUGAACUUAAUACUCUAGAUGCAUGCUGGAUAGCGGUUGAUGUGUGGAGUAAUAGUAGUAGAUGCAGAAUCGUUUUGGUCUACUUGUCGCGGACAUGAUGCCUAUAUACAUGAUGAUGCCUAGAUAUUCUCAUAACUAUGCACUUUUCUAUCAAUUGCUCGACAAUAAUUUGUUCACCCACCGUAAUACUUAUGCUAUCUUGAGAGAAGCCACUAGUGAAACCUAUGGCCCCCGGGUCUAUUUUCCAUCAUAUAAGUUUCCAAUCUAUUUUACUUUGCAAUCUUUACUUUAAAUCUAUAUCAUAAAAAUACCAAAAAUAAUUAUCUUAUUAUCUCUAUCAGAUCUCACUUUUGCAAGUGGCCGUGAAGAGAUUGAAAACCCCUUUAUCGCGUUGGUUGCAAGGUUCUUAUUUGUUUGUGUAGGUACGAGGCGACUUGCGUGUAGUCUCCUACUGGAUUGAUACCUUGGUUCUCAAAAACUGAGGGAAAUACUUACGCUACUUUGUUGCAUCACCCUUUCCUCUUCAAGGGAAAACCAACGCAGUGCUCAAGAGGUAGCACCCUACCUAGGCACAAUAGAGAGGUCAGCACGCCGGUCUAAAUCCUAUGCUCGCAGGGGUCUGGGCCCAUCGCCCAUUGCACACCUGCACGUUGCGAACGCGACCGGAAGCAGACCUAGCCCCCUUAAUACAAGCGCAGGCUUACGGUCCAAUCUGACGCGCGCCGCUCAAUCGCUGACGUCAAGAAGGCUUCGGCUGAUACCACGACGUCGAGUGCCCAUAACUGUUCCCGCGUAGUUGGUUAGUGCGUAUUGUUGGAAAUAUGCCCUAGAGGCAAUAAUAAAUGGUUAUUAUUAUAUUUCUUUGUUCAUGGUAAUUGUCUAUUAUUCAUGCUAUAAUUGUAUUGUCCGGAAAUCGUGAUACAUGUGUGAAUACAUAGACCACAACGUGUCCCUAGUAAGCCUCUAGUUGACUAGCUCGUUGAUCAACAGAUAGUCAUGGUUUCCUGACUAUGGACAUUGGAUGUCAUUGAUAACGGGAUCACAUCAUUAGGAGAAUGAUGUGAUGGACAAGACCCAAUCCUAAGCAUAGCAUAAAAGAUCGUGUAGUUUCGUUUGCUAGAGCUUUUCCAAUGUCAAGUAUCUUUUCCUUAGACCAUGAGAUCGUGCAACUCCCGGAUACCGUAGGAGUGCUUUGGGUGUGCCAAACGUCACAACGUAACUGGGUGACUAUAAAGGUGCACUACGGGUAUCUCCGAAAGUGUCUGUUGGGUUGGCACGGAUCGAGACUGGGAUUUGUCACUCCGUGUGACGGAGAGGUAUCUUUGGGCCCACUCGGUAAUGCAUCAUCAUAAUGAGCUCUAUGUGACUAAGGCGUUAGUCACGGGAUCAUGCAUUACGGUACGAGUAAAGAGACUUGCCGGUAACGAGAUUGAACAAGGUAUUGGGAUACCGACGAUCGAAUCUCGGGCAAGUAACAUACCGAUUGACAAAGGGAAUUGUAUACGGGAUUGAUUGAAUCCUCGACACCGUGGUUCAUCCGAUGAGAUCAUCGUGGAACAUGUGGGAGCCAACAUGGGUAUCCAGAUCCCGCUGUUGGUUAUUGACCGGAGAGGCGUCUCGGUCAUGUCUGCAUGUCUCCCGAACCCGUAGGGUCUACACACUUAAGGUUCGGUGACGCUAGGGUUGUAGAGAUAUGUGUAUGCGGAAACCCGAAAGUUGUUCGGAGUUCCGGAUGAGAUCCCGGACGUCACGAGAGGUUCCGGAAUGGUCCGGAGGUGAAGAAUUAUAUAUAGGAAGUCAAGUUUCGGCCAUCGGGAAAGUUUCGGGGGUUACCGGUAUUGUACCGGGACCACCGGAAGGGUCCCGGGGGUCCACCGGGUGGGGCCACCUAUCCCGGAGGGCCCCGUGGGCUGAAAGUGGAAGGGAACCAUCCCUUAGUGGGCUGGGGCGCCCCCCUUGGGCCUCCCCCCAUGCGCCUAGGGUUGGGAACCCUAGGGUGGGGGGGUUUCCCCCUUGCCUUGGGGGGCAAGGCAACCCCUUCCCCCCUUUGGCCGCCGCCCCCCAUGAGAUCCCAUCUCUAGGGCCGGCGCCCCCCCAGGGGGCCUAUAUAAAGGGGGGAGGGAGGGCAGCAACCUACAGCCUUGGGCGCCUCCCUCCUCCCCUGCAACACCUCUCUCCGUCUCGCAGAAGCUCGGCGAAGCCCUGCCGAGACCCGCUACAUCCACCACCACGCCGUCAUGCUGCUGGAUCUCCAUCAACCUCUCCUUCCCCCUUGCUGGAUCAAGAAGGAGGAGACGUCGCUGCACCGUACGUGUGUUGAACGCGGAGGUGCCGUCCGUUCGGCACUCGGUCAUCGGUGAUUUGGAUCACGGCGAGUACGACUCCGUCAUCCACGUUCAUUGGAAUGCUUCCGCUCGCGAUCUACAAGGGUAUGUAGAUGCACUCCUUUCCCCUCGUUGCUAGUACACUCCAUAGAUGCAUCUUGGUGAGCGUAGGAAAAUUUUAAAUUAUGCUACGAUUCCCAACACGUAUAGGCCAGUGGCCAGACUCAGAUCAAAUACCAAGAUCUCGUUAAGCGUGUUAAUUGAUGUAACCGCAGACGCCGACCAGGGCCAGGCCCACCUCUCUCCUAGGUGGUCUCAACCUGCCCUAUCGCUCUGCCACAAAGUAACAGUCGGGGCCGUCGGGAACCCAGGCCCACCACUACCUGGAUGGAACCACCUGCCCCUUCAGCCCCCACAUCAAAAUCACUUGCGGGUACUCUACGAGCCGACCGGACUUUAGUCACCACCUGUAUAGUAUGUAUGUAUUUAUAUACUCGUGGAUCACCUCCCGAGUGAUCACAGCCCGAUAGUAUAGCAUGGCAGACGGACAAGGAUGUAGGGCCACUCAUGAAGUACUAGCAACCUAUACUAAGCAUGUAGGAUUGCAGGUAAAGGUAUCAACAAUUGUAGCAACAAUGACAGGCUAUGCAGCAGAAUGGGAUUAACCGAAAGCAGUAACAUGCUACACUACUCUAAUGCAAGCAGUAGCGAGAAUGAAUAGGCGAUAUCGGGUGAUCAAGGGGGGGGGGAGCUUGCCUGGAAGCUCAACCAAGAAAGAGGGGUCGUCAACACCGUAGUCGUACUGGGUAGCAGCGGCGUCGGUCUCGGUGUCUAACGAGAGAAGAGGGGGAAGAAACAAUAAGUAUAAUACAAACAUAUGCAUGACGACGCAUGACAAGACAAUGAGCGGUGCUAGGUGUGCCCUAACACAGUGCUACACGAUACCGAGGAAGGGGGAACCCAUCUGGGAAAGUUUUCCCGGUUCCGGACAAAUGUCGAACAAGUGACCGGAGAGGGAAUGUUCCAGGUUCGGAUAGUUAGAGGUAUCCGGCGGUUAUGUGGGUAGUGUAUGGUGGUUCGACUACGGAGUACAAAGCAUUUUCAUCCGAGCUACGUAUUAUUUUAUAUUAAUUUUCAAAGUUUUAAUCAAUUUCUAAAUUAUUAUUAUUGAAUCAAUUCGAAAAUACCAUUAUUGACUUAGCAUGAUGUCAGCAUGACGUCAACAGUCAACAGAGGUGUUGACUGGGUCAAACUUACGUGUGGGUCCGCAUGUCAUUUACUGAGAUUAACUAAACAGGUUAAUUAGUUUAAUUAGUGAUUAGGUUAAUCUAAUCAAGAUUAAUUAAUUAAUUAAUAAUUUUUUACUUAUUAUUAUUAAAAAAAAUCUUUUUCUUUACGUUUUCGUUCUGGGUGCAUGGGGCCCAAAUGGCAGGGGCCCAUCUGGCCUAACGGGCGCUGGGCGCUACAGGCGCCCGACCAGGCGAGGGCCGAGCAGCGCAGACGGGCGCCGGGCGAUGACCGGGGCUGCGGCGACGCCGGCCGGGAACGGCUCCGGUGAGGCCGACCGAGUGGCGGACUACAGUACAGGACGGCGGGGGUCGCGCGAGGGGGCGGGCUGCAGGCUGCGGCGGCCUGGGCGUGGGCGCACCAGCAGAGCAGUGGUAAUGGGGCACACGGUCAGAGCGGCAGGGGCGCAUGUGAAGCAGCAGCGCAGCCGCGGCAGGCGAGUAGCGACGGGGGAAGCAUCAGGCGAGUGAGGCCGCGUCAGGGGCGCGCGCGCGUGAGCUGCGGUCGGCGCAGACGAGCAAGUGCGCGCGCGGGGCGGCUCGAGCGGCAGUAGCAGGUGCGGCAUCAGCAACAGCAGCGCAACUAGCAGCGGCCUCAGGUAGUUGCAGCGCGAGAAGUAGGGGCUCGGGGCGAUGGCCGGUGCGUGGACCGCGGUGAGUGCGUCGUGGGGGAGCAGGGUGCGGCCGGCACGGGUGGGCUGGUCGGGGACGUGCACGGAUGGGGGUGGGCGCAGCACGGGGUGGCUAUGCGGGGCGGGCGGCGCGAGUGCGGUGGUUGCGAGGGCGAGGCAAUGGAGAGGGGAAGAGGAGGCCGGGGGCCUUACCGUCCGAUGCAGGGGGAAUGGCAGCGGGUGUCGAGGAGGAGGACGGGGAUGAGGCGAGCGACGACGGAGAGGACGGCGUGCAGUCCGGCGGGGAGGAGGACGAGGAGGCGGCGCCGACGGUGGGGCGGUCCGACAAGGAAGCGGCGCCGGCGAGGUAGAAGUGGCGCAACGGUGGUCGACGGGGUCGCCUACGGGGGAAAGCGAGGGAGACGCGGGGGANNNNNNNNNNNNNNNNNNNNNNNNNNNNNNNNNNNNNNNNNNNNNNNNNNNNNNNNNNNNNNNNNNNNNNNNNNNNNNNNNNNNNNNNNNNNNNNNNNNNNNNNNNNNNNNNNNNNNNNNNNNNNNNNNNNNNNNNNNNNNNNNNNNNNNNNNNNNNNNNNNNNNNNNNNNNNNNNNNNNNNNNNNNNNNNNNNNNNNNNNNNNNGGGUUAGUAGGCGCAGCUGGGCAGGCCUGGUUGGCCCAAUGGCCAGCUGGGCCUAGGCCUGGUGGGGGGUGGGUCCUCCUUUUUCUUAUUUUCUUUUCUAUUUUAUUUCUAGUUUCUUUUACUUUUAGUUUUAGAAAAAUUACCACUAGUACCUAAAUUUGUAUCUAUAAACAAACUACUGCCAGACUAAUUCUUAGCCCAUAAUAAAUUAGUUUUAAUAUUUCAUAAACUUCCAUAGGCAUCUGUUUAAUUGUUUUCACUGCUAUUUUAAUUAUUUUAGUGCAUUUGAAUUCUUUACGAAAGUUUGGUUUCUUUACUAUAAUUACUUACGCAUUAUUUGGCACAACCCAAACAUUUUAGUUUUAACGUUUGAAAACUUUUAUUGUUUGACUUUAAUUCAAAUUUAGAUUUGAACCGGUUUUGAACUAACGCGAGAUUAACAACAGUAACGAAGGUGACGUGGCAUUAUUAGUAGAGGUUUACUGUAGCUUAAUUAUCCGGGCGUCACAGGAGCAUUUAAGGGGUGGGAGCAGCCAAAUCCGACACCAGCGAUCUCUACGCAUGGCGUCGCCGCAUCCCUCCACUUAAUUCCUCCCCUGUCCCAUCAUCGCCCUAAAUUCCAUAUCGCCAUUGCAGAACAAAUGAUUCGUUCCUUCGAGGCCGGUGAGCGGUAGAGUAGGAAGGAACGCUAAACUGACAAUUCAAGGGAUAGUCCAUUAUUCAGUUGUGAAGAAGUCUAAUCCGGUCGUUCUAGGUGAAAGUUCGAUUUAUCAAUCUCCACUGAAAAUUCUAAUAUAUCAAAAUAUUGUUUGGAACAGAUGACAAACUAAUGUGGCUCGAGAUCCGGUGGGGGAUUGUUGAAUUAUAGAUGGGCUUUUGGGCCCAUAUGAACAAUGAUUUUUGGUUAAUCUUUAGGACCAUGUAGGUGUAUGGUAGGUGUGUGAAGUUUAGUACCACAUUGCUAGUGGAGGAGAGUUGAGACCCAUUUUAUAAGGAUGCUCUACCACUUGUCGUCGGGAGCUUGGAAAGAGAAGUGAUACACAUGCGCUCCUCCUCCCCCGUCGCCCGCCUCGUCACGGCGCGCGCUCUCCGCGUGUUGCUUCCGGCGAUUCCAUCUCGACGACCGCUUCCCCAUCCACCUCUACUUCCGCAUCCGCGUUGGCUUGACCAACUGGAGGGUAUUGAUUCGUUCAUCGUCUAUUUGUUCGUUCAUGUGCUUACCGUAUCUGCUAUGUUCAUACAUGUUUCGGUUCAAUUUACUUUACGUGCUCACAUGCUUCUAUAAUCGCGGCCGAGCAACCGCGGGCAUGCGCACAAUUCUUGCAGUUUUGGCUGGGCCUUAGUUUGGACGACGUCGAAGCUCAGUCUGGUGCCUCGCCUAUCAGGACAUGGCCGCGGUGAUGCUCAUCCGUUAACGGCACAUUCCAGCUCGCACGUCCAAGUUUGUAGAAAAGCCCCGAGUGUUUUGCUGGUUCGCCGCCUGGUUGGUUUCCUGGAUAGUACUAAAACCGUCGUCGCAGUUGGGACCUGAACGGAAGAGCAACAAAUCCAGCGCUCGGAUGUCACCACAAAAUUCCUAUGCGUAAGCAACCGGUCGCACAAGGUGUAAUUUACUUUUUGCGCCUGGUUAGUAAUAGCGGAUACAAGGUUUAUUUUUUUAAACAAAAGCAAAAGCUUUGCCAUUUGCAUUAAUUAAGAAUAAGAAGAAGAUAGUUGCCCAGUUACUUAUGAAAAACUGGAUGAAAACCGAUACAAACAUGCCCUAGCCUGCACGAAAACACGACGCAACUAGAGCCAUGUCCACUCUUUCCAACAUGGCAAACACAUCCGAAGAUGCUCAACACCAAGGCACAAUGUAAUCCUCGACAUGUUUAUCCCAAGAUGUAACCGACAAAGGUGUAACCCUAGGUACCCCCGAUGUCUAUAUAAGCCAAGGGGUUUAGAUCAUAGAGGUAGAUUCAUUCACAUACGAUCUCGAGCUAGAUCAACUCUGUACCCCAACCACAAUCAAUACAAUACAGGUAGGACAUGGGGUUUUACCUAUUUGAGAAGGCAUGAGCCUGAAUAAACACUGUGUCCCUUCUUCGUCUAUUACCAUCAUGCCAAGAUCACCAACUCAGGACCCCCCUACCCGAGAUCUGCUGGAUUCGACUCUGUCACAACCCAAUUUCACCCUCGAAUCACACCCUUAUUUUAUCUUUUCGAGUAGUACACACCCUUUAUUUAUGGGAGUGACUAGACUCAUCUAGAUGAGUUAUAGUUUGGUAUCAUUCACCUUACCUCAGCUGACGUCACCCGUUGUGUUGUCUCAUCCCUAUUUCACUUGUUUCUCGAACCACGUAACCCCCUCAUUGGCCCACUAAAGCUUUGUUCCGUGUUGUAAAAUUAUGCAUGGGCUUUGACGGGACCUACUCUUUGCCAUGACAUAGGAGGAUUUCCGACUGGGCCGGCCCAUGAAGCUAGCCUAGGGCUCCAAAAAAAUUCACCCUGAGGGGGCGAACACCCAACCUCCCUCUUAACCAUUCUUAAUUUCGAAGCAGCGCAAAACCUUAUGAACCAAUACCAACACAGAAUUGAAAGUUUUUGAAAAUUUGAACACAAAACAAUUUUUUGAAAGAAAAGAACAUGAAUGCUUUAUGAAACACAAACACUUUUCAAUUUUUUUGUUUUUUUAACUGACAGUUUGGAAAACAAUUUUUUUUGAAAAUCACGAACAAUUUCUGAAACGAGAAUAUUUUUGAAAAUCCCCCAAAAAAUAUGAGAACAUGAUUUUUUUUUUCCAAAAAGGGAAUCAUUUUUUAGAUUCCAAAACAAAAUUUGAAAUGCGAAUAAUUUUUGGAACAGGAACAUUUUUUGAAAAUUCCCGAACAAAAUUUUGAAACAUGAGCCUUUUUUAGAAAUUUGCGAACAAGCUUUGAAAUGUGAGCAUUUUUUAAACACCCAAAUAAAAUUUGAAAACAAAAACAAUUUUGGAAACUCCUGAACAAGUUUUGAAAACACAAACAUUUUUUUAAUUUGUAAACAAUUUUGAAGUGGAAACUUUUCGAAAUCCAAACAAUUUUUGAAGUAGGAGCAUUUUUUAAAACACCCGAACAAAAUUUGAGAGCAUGAUUUUUUUAAUUAUGAAACUAGAAUAUCUUUUGAAACUCCCAAAUGAAAAACACAAAUAUUUUUUGAAAUUUGCAAAUAAUUUUUGAAAUGGAUUUUUUUUAAAUCUUGAACAAAUUUUGAUAAGUUGUGAAAAUUCUGAACAAAAACAUGAUGAAAAGAAAAGGAACAAAAAAGAAAAAGAAAAAGAAAAACCAAAUACAAAAAGGAAUAAAUAGCACGGGGAGCGUAGAUGGGGGCUGGUUCCUCCCGGAGCAGGAAGCUUACCUCCGUUGGUGGCGACUAGUAUGGAGGCUCUCCGGCGUGGCUCUCUGUCGAGACAAGUUUGCCUAAGUGAUAUGUAGUUAAUAAAGAGAGAGGUGUUUAGAGUAACAUAACGCAAGCUAAAAUAAAAUGAGUCUACAAUCUAAUAAGUGCAAUCAUCUAUUAUACUACUUCUAUAUUACUUUACAUCAUAAAGGUAGUAUUCUCUUCGGUCCUUUUUACUUCACGUAUUAGAUUUGUGUCAAGUCAAACAUUGCAAAGUUUGACCAACUUUACAGUAUAAAAAUAUCAAUAUCUAUAUUUCAUAACGAAUCUAACAAUGUUGAUUUGGCAUUGUGAUUGUUGAUAUUUUUUUCUAUAUGUUGAUUAAAAUAGAGAUAUUUUGACUUUGGACCAAACUUAUAUGUAAAUGACACUAGUCUAAUUUAGUCUCCACUAUGGUUAGCCUAACCGAACAAAUAGCGACACAAGCCUGCGGACAACAACACGAAUCUCCACAGGGUCCAAUCGGACGGUAAUGGGCGUGAGACCAUACUAAAACUCAGCUAGCACAUCUGCUUAUUUAUCUACUACCUUCGUUCCUAAAUAUUUAUUUUUCUAGAGAUUUCAAUAAAUGACUACAUAUACGAAGCAAAAUGAGUGAAUCUACAUUUUAAAAUAUAUUUAUAUACAUCCGUAUAUGAUAGUUUAUUUGAAAUAUUUAAAAAAAACAGAUAUUUAAAAACGGAAGGAGUAUUUUAUUACGUUUUGGAACACUGAUAGAUUCACGGAGGGGCCAAAUCAUGCGAAUUCCCGGUACCAACAAACAAACUUGUACGACAUCGAUAUGCUUAAAAAAAACUUGUACUACAUCGAUCGCGAAUUUCCCGCGAAAAAGAGAUAAAGGAAAAAUCGAUCGCAGUCUCUACGCAUAUCUAAAUGUAUAAGAGCAUCUCUAGCGGACCCCGCAAAAUCCUGACCCGCAUAAGUCUUUUGCAGUUCGCGAAAAAGGGUAUAUGCAGGCCGGCGCGGGCGUGGACAGACUCAGACCCCGUAUAAUCAACCCAUAAAAAAGAAUAUUCUCCAAAUAUACCGAACAGAUAGAGCUAGCUCUUUUUUUUGUCAUCCUCUUCCUCACGUCAAUCCCGCGAACAGGCGGACGAGGGAAAAUAAGAGGCGAGCGCGGCGCGGGCGGAGGCCAAGGCGGCCGGGGCGAGCGCGGCGCUCGCGGAGGCCAGGGCUGCCGGGGCGGCGACGGGAUCCAACGGCCGGCACAUCGAGCUAGCUAGCUAGCUCUUCGCUAGCUCCAUUCGAAUGGAUUGAGCUGCUAGCUAGCUAGCUCCGUUCGAAUGGAUUGAGCUAGCUAGCUAGCUCCGUUCGAGAGCCGCGGAGCCACGGGCGAGCGCGGCGGCCGGGACGGCCGGCCGUCCGGCUAUCGGACGGCCGGCGAGUGAGCGCGGUGGCCGGGGCAGACGGGCGCGGCGGCCGGGCGAGCUUCAUGGCGUUGGCGGGGGCAAAGAUUCCUCAACCGUCAAUGUUGACCGGUCCGGUAUGCAAGGCCCUGAUAAAUUUGCCCUCAAAACUGUAUAUUUAUGAAGGUUUCGUGUUCGUGUUUACAGGGCCCCUAAAAAAUUUUAAGGGUCGGACGAUUUUGCGGGGUCUGUUCGGGCUUUUUUUUACUGAAACUGUAAAAAACAGUUAUUUUACGGGUUUGACCAUUUACAUUUAUACGGGUUGCUAGAGAUGCUCUAAGGUCGCCGUAAGAAAUGCUGCCGACCAUAUUAAGAUAUGCACCCAUAUGACAUCAACCGCUCUGUUAGUUGUCUCUCUUCCUCCGAUGGUUGGCUCGUUGCUUGCUUCGUCUGUACGCAGCGGAAUUCUUGCGCCAAGACUCACGAGGCAUCCCCGCAAAGACGUCGGAAUUCUCGAGAAAUAGCGUGACCAUCGGCCAGUGAAUUGCUAGUGAACAAGUCGGCAGGUGGUCAGAGGCACGGGAAGCCAUGGCCGUGGAUUGCUUCCACCGCGCGUAUGCGCUGGCCAUCGUCAACGCCGUCUGCAUCGGCGGCACGGCCAUGAUCCUCUACGCGCUCGUCAACCUGGCGCGGAAGCCCGACCACAGCAGGGGCUCCAUCAUCGUGCUCACGGUCUUCCUCCUCUUCUGGGUCGGCGUCGGCGCCAGCGUGUACACGGCCUUCUGCGGGGUCCUCUUCCCGUGGUCGGCGCUGCGCCGGUGCCUGGCCUCCACCAGCGGAGCGCUGAUGUACUACUUCCGCCGCACGGGCUGGCUUCACUGCCUGCCGGGCCGGUCCAGGCUACGGCGCCGAAGCGGCAGCAGCGCUCUGCCCCAGUUUCUGGACCAAAUACAGCAGAGUCACAUGCCCGCGCUGGCCAGGGAGCCGCCGGCGCAUGGCGGCGCGAGGGUGGCGACGGCGUAUGACGUCCUGGCGUACGAGCAACCGGAGGGGGGCGGCGCGUCGGAGUGUGCGGUCUGCCUCGGGGAGGUGGAGAAGGGGGACACGAUGAAGCGGCUGCCGGCGUGCCUGCACAUGUUCCACCAGCAGUGCAUCGACCCGUGGCUGCACGAGCACUCCACCUGCCCGGUCUGCCGGUGCAUCGUCUUCGCGCCGUUGCCGGCCCAAAUGGUAUGAGCGACACCGACGAUGAAAGACAGCUGAGCGCACAACUCAAACCCUUGUCCAGGUCUCCCGGAAGCCGGAACGGCGAUGGCGGCGCAUCUUGCGUCGUGGCUUUUCCUGCAGAAGGCAUCAUCUUGGAGUCGUCUUCGGUUGCGGAUUCCACCAGCUCUUGCCGUGGCGAUGCUGAGACGGUGAAUCUGGAUCUGAUUGGUGCGGCCUCUUGUUCGGCUCCAAGCGGAGAUGCUUUGCUAUUGGGUUUUGGUAGUAUGUGUUUUCCUGCGUGUUCAUGGGAUUCUCGUGCCCCGCCCUAUGUUUGUGGAGAUAUAUGGGUUUCAACUUUCAAAGGAAGUGUCUAUUUGACGUUUGACUGAAAAUCAAUUGAACAUCAGUCAAGUUUUUCAACCAAUAAUAGAACGGUACUUGUAUAUUUGUGUGUUCCUUUUUUGUGUAUCUAUGUAUGUCAGCGCUAGAAGGUCAAUCCUAAUCGGGUUGGACCCGGUUUCAAACAUAUGUGAGCUACAGGUAUCGCAUUACCACAGCCGAAAAAAAGCCUACUGAUCCAUCAACAUACCCUCUGUAGGUCUGCCAUCAACGUACAGUCCACUUCUUUUUUGGUAAAGCUUCGUAAACCCCGCGUCUCUCGCUUCUUUGCUGUACUUAUCAACGUACAGUCCACUUACAAUCACUCGGGAGAAAAAUACAGUGAUAAUUAGACUGCCAUUCUGGUAACUUGCAGUCUACUCAUAGUGAUAUCUUAAGUGUUAAAGUCUAGAUACACAAAACUUACAGUCAAUUAGCACUGGAACUUAUAAAAUUACAGUGUACUGAACCCAUUUGCAUUCAUGACAAGCAGGUGAAAAACCUUGAAAUUACAGUAAGAAAACCUUGCAGGUAUAGUACCUAGUGUCUUCUACAGAUUAUAGAGACACAACUGAACCAACAUUGCGAUGCAGAGGCCGGGGGCAAUCCUCCUUUUCGAAAAGAAAAAAACAGCUGAACCAACAUACACACUUGACACUUCCUAUCAUACAGAUGACUACACACUGAACCAACAUAGACACUGCCCUAUCCAUAGUGUGAAAAAAGCAGUUCAUCAUCUAUCUAAUGCAAACAAUCCUUCUUCUCCAUCAUUGUUAAUUCACAGUCUGAAAAAAAAGGAUCAAACACGACAUUAGACCAAUCAUUAAGAUAUACAGCACAAAGGGACGCCAUUAACACUGAACCAAAAAGCUGAAAAUACAUAGUACAAGAGACAGCGAGUGACAUAGACGAGUACAGUAAAUUAGGCAACCUUUAGCCAAAAGUACAACUAAAAAAGACUGGAAGUCAUGAACCUCUUUACUGUAAAUUUGAAGUAUAAAAAACAGAAGUGCUUACAUCUUCAAAAAAAAUCAGUAACAAGAAGUCUAGAACUUAUCGACCCUGUUGAACUCACUGAAAAACUUAUCAUUAGCAUACUUUGUCCUUAAGUUGGGAAUGUCAGCGCUUGAAAAAUGGUCAACAACUUGAGUCCUUGCAGUCCACACUUCCAUAAACUCGAAUGUAAAGACACCACAAUUGUGUGCCUGGUUUCACAUGAAUAAAGGAAGAAAAAAAAAGAUACCAACAAAAUCAAGAACAGAAUAUAAGAGAAAAUCAGGCCAGCUAUACUAAAAAACAAGUUACCUAUUGGUCUGAUUGGAACAGCUAUAGGUCGAUAACAUCAUUUUUUUUUCCAAACUGUUUUGUUUCCUCAACAUGGGAGUAAUAAAAGUGUCCCAGAAUCCUAUAAAGUUUGUAAUACGCUCGAAUAAAGGAAAAUACAAGAGAUAAAUCUUAAAAGAUAACAACACAGUGCCUUCAAAAGGGAAACAAAUUGAUUAAAAUGUACUAGCAUAUCGCCAAUCUGCAAGUGAAAUUCAGAAUGCUCAUUAAAAGCUGGAUCAAGGAAAGUAAAGGCUCUUCCCUUCAAACAAACAAAGAAAGAAAACCAAUGCUUUCGAACGGUUACAGAGAAGUACAGCUGGAACAAGGAAGAAUAAUAUGAAGAAAAAUGUAUAUAGAGAAAAUGAGAAAUAAAAAAGAAAUGGCAAAGACAAACACCAAAAAAGAAGGCAGAAAUUAAAUUACUAUCAUGGAGGAAAUGAAAAAUAAAAAGAAAGAGCAAAGACAAACACCAACAAGGAACCAUGGAGUUAGAAAUCCUUCAAUUCCAAUUGGGGCAAAGAUAAACGCCAAAGCUGCAACAACUAAUUGGGGGAGAGCCAUGGAAGAUCAUACAAGAGACGAUCCACAGGCCGGAAAUCCUUCAAUACCAAUGUCUUUGCUCAUGCCUAGUGAUUUUCUAUGAGAUCUAGAACCGGUAAAAUCACAAGAAUGAAAAGCAGAGAUCACAAAUUCUUUUCAUUUGACAGAGUGUAUUGCACAGAGCACUCUAGUCAAAAUCAAAGAAACUGGUCAGUUUUGUUUCAAAAGCACCAGGGCAAAAGAAACUAAAAUUUACAGUAGCAAAAAAGUACUGAAAUUACUAUUAUCAAGUUGCAACACUAACCAAAGGUAGAUUCAGUAUAUAUUAACAGCGUGAAUAGAUAGAACACUACCCAACAAAGACACUGUGAUUUGCAUUGACUGUAAAUACAGUAAAUAUUCUAGUAAAAAUGGCACUGUGAUUACCCAUGGAAAUUACACUGUAACAACAUUGUAAAUAUAGAGAAAUUGCACUGUAAUUACAGUAAAUAGCAGUGUGAUUUACAGUGUAAUUACCCUAAAAAUUACGCUGUAAUUACACUGCAAUUACAAGUAUACUGUAAGAGCACUAUAAUUACAAUACGAUUACUCUGUAAUUUCAGAGGAAAUGACACUGUAAUUAAAAUGAAAUUACAAUCUUAAAGCUGCUGUAAACUUAGGCCCUGUUCGGAGUCACUCCAACUCCUAAAAAUACGAGGAGCUGGAGCAUCUCUUUCCCAGCUCCGUGCCUUUUGCCUCCAGCUCCGGGAGCGGAGUGGUGGAGUGGCGGGUCUCCGAACAGGGCCUUAGAUGCAACACUACGGAAAACAUAGAAAAAAUGUUAUAAAAUGGAUACAAAUACUACCAAACAAAGACAAACCACAAAGAUAAAGAUGCAACACUACGGUUCUAGAAUGCUUGCAGACCCAACAUAGGCAAACUUCAUUGUGAUCUAGUGUAAUUAACCUGAAAAUAGCACUAUAAUAACCUGAAAUAACAUUGUAAUUGCAGUGCCUGUAAACUAAAAAUCAUAGAAGUUACAGCAAAAAUUGCACAAUGGUUACCUCUGGAACUUACACUGAAAUUACAAUGUCACUACUAUGUGAUUUCAGACGAAAUUACACUGUAAUUAAAAUGAAAUUACAGUUAUGGUUACCUCUGGAACUUACACUGAAAUUACAAUGUCACUACUCUAUGAUUUCAGAGGAAGUUACACUGUAAUUAAAAUGAAAUCAGAGUUAUGAAGUUGUGGUAACUUAGAUGCAACUACUACCUAAAAACGAACACCCCUGGAUCUAACAACAAAAAACGUCAGCGGAAUCAAACGCCCAGGUUAGCAGAAAGAAAAUCAACAGGGGAAUCGGAUCCACCGCUACAUCCAUCCACCUAUCAAUGUAAUCGCAAAAAAAUCGCCAAAAUCCACCUCUAAGACUACACAUACACCUACAUCUACAUCAAACACAAGGGGAAUCGAAUCAAACCACAAGAUCUAGAAGAAAUUCAAUGGGGCAAGGGAGAAGACCAGGAUAUCCAACUGAAACCACACGACACUGGAGCGGAAAUCAAUCUGAAGAAGAGGAGGAGGAGAAGAUGGGAAUCACCAUGGACGACGAGGAAAUCGCCAAGAAUCGCCUCCCUCUCUCAGCUUUAACUCUCGCCAAGAAAUGAGAAAGGACAAACAAAAAAAGAUAGAGAACAAAAGGG